rnacentral:lncRNA from 1 species
AAAAAAACAUAACUAAACUCAGAAAUCACAAUAAAAGGAUCACAAAUAGCUAGCAUAAAUUCAUUCCAUAAUAAUAUUGUAAGUUGUAACCACACUCAUGAAGCAUCACCUUUUAUUUGUUCUAAUAAUAUACAAAAGGGCCACACGGUGAUACAUGACAAGUAAAGGCAUAAAGGUAUAUUGGGGGAAUUAUAAUUACUAAACUUUUCAGUAGCUCAAAUCCUAUGAUUUGAUUUUGCCCUAGUGCUUCAAAAUCACCCACAGAAAUUUAAGGAUCACAUGCAUAUACUCAUAAGCUCCAAGCUCCUGGCGCAUAUACCAAAUUAAUCAGGGGUGGGGGCCAUGGUGGGGAGGGUGCCCAUGUGGCCCAGGAGGAGGUGCAUGGGCAUGAGGACCAGGCGGUGGUGCAUGAGCAUGAGGACCAGGCGGUGGUGCUGCUGGACCAGGAGGUGAAGGAGAUGGAUGAGCAUGUGGUGGCGGAGAAGGUCCGGGAUGCGGUGGACCCGGGUGGUGGUGAGGGCCUGGGCCUCCUGGUCCUGGUGGUGGUGGAUUAGGCAUAUGUUCCUCAACUGAUGAAUUUGUGGAGGAGAUGAAUUAGUGACAAUGGGUUUAAACAAUUGAAACCACUGCUUUGAUUAAUAUAGGGGAUCAUAGAAAGAAAGAGCCCUUAUCUUAUCUUCAGCAAUCCAUCAGUCAAUGCCCAAUUUUACUUUCUGUUAGGCAACUAACAUUCUUCAAUUUGUGUAGGUGAGAGUGGAAAAUCCUGUAAUUUUAUUAAAAUGGCGAAUGAAAGUUCUACCCUGCUUACUAUUUACUGCGUGUGAUGAUGCAAAUUUAUAAAGCCAUCUAGAAGCUAGUGCUUAAUUUUCAAUGUGUGCAUAAUAUAUUUUUGGUCUAAGGAAAAAAAUUAUACAUUGAGAAAUAUGACAUGACAUGACUUUUUAGUGUACUGAAAAGAUAAAUUUACAUCUAGAUUUAGUCGAUCACCUUCUGACAUAUUAUUUUAUAAUAGUUUUUAAUUAUCAUUAACAUUUAUAGCAGUUAAAAACUAUCACUAAAAUGUAUGGUUGUAAUGUGUUGAGAAAAAAUCAUAUGUCGAUGUAUCACCGCUCUUUAUUAUAUAUAACCCCAAUUACCUUUGGCCCAAAUAUGUUUGGUUUUGACGAAAACGAAAUGAAUGAAUGGAGAAGAAUAGAAAAUAAUACUGAUAUUAAUGUAUUUAGAAACACAAAAGCAUUCAUCCAUGAAUCUUAACCCAAUCCACUGAAUGGCUCUCCUAGGGUUAGGGAGGCGGCCGCCAAACAAGGUUUUGUUUAUCCAAGGUUGAUCACCACGUUUUACUUCUCUCUUUUGACUAAACGCUGACCCUGUCUGGUGAACCAUAUUCUUUUCUGCGUCUAUUGCAUGCAACAGAGGUUUUUUCUGCUAUCAAGACUGUACGAAGGCCGAUCAUGGCGUUUAAUGGUGAUGUUCCGAUUCUGAACUGGGAAGAGGAGGAGAAUGUCGUUCUUGACCUAGGUGAGGCUGAGGUUGACCCGCAGCUCGGUGCGAAUGUCUGGCUCGUUGGGAAGGUGUUGUCCCCGAACAAGGUUACGACACCUAUUUUUAGAAGCGUCAUGCUUAGGCUCUGGGAGACAAGGAACGUGAAGGAGAUACGACAUGUUGGCCCUAAUCUUUUUGCUUUUGAGUUUGGCAAAACAAAAGACAGAGAUUUGUUUCUGCGAUCUGGUCCGUGGCUCUUUGAUCGUCACCUGGUGGUGCUGGAUGUUUUUGACAUCACCAAGGAUCCCAUGCAAGUGCCCUUGACCAAAGUUCCUCUCUGGGUACAGGUUCAUGGGCUCCCGUACACGAUGAGAUCAGAACGGAUAGCGAAGAGUUUGGGGGAAUCUUUCGCCGGCUACCUGGGUUGGGACAAAUAUGAGGCACACAGGUAUGGGUACUGCUUGCGGAUUAGAGCUUGGGUGGAUGUGACUACGCCGCUGCGGCGAGGUCAACUCGUAGCAACUAGAGGAGAAGCCCCCCUAAGGGUAACGUUUAAAUAUGAAAAGAUAGUCAAUAUUUGUUACCGUUGUGGGAAACUAGACCACGUUCUCCGAAACUGUGCGGUGGAGGGGAAUGGUGGUGCUCUCCGUUUUGGUGCUUGGAUGAGAGCUGAGGAUGAUCACCCUGUUGGAGGUUACCGUGGGGGAGAAAAUAAAGGAUACAUACAGCCCAAUGAGGAUGGAAAGGAACCCUAUGAGGAAGAUGGAGAUUAUGUUGAGGAGGAGGAACUGGAACCUGAAUCAGAUUUGGUGCAAAAUUGUGACGGAGGGAACAAAAAUUUGAACGAACACGAGGAGGGAGAAAACUGUGAGCUUGCUGCCACUUAUAGUAAGGAGGACACAGUUUACUUGCAAAAAAACACAUGUAGGUGGUGAAGGUAAACAAAAGGAGACCAAGCAGCACUUAGAUGGAAAAGUUUUUAAUUUUGGGGCCCAAAAAUCACGUGGCUUCCAGACCAAAAUGGGGCCAGUGGCAAGGGAUAUGAGAAGAGGCAGAAACAUGGGAAUUAAUAGAAGGGAAAGUGGUGAUGGAUUUGAAAAUCAUGGCUUACCAAGAAAGCGGGCAGGUGGACCAUCUUCUACAUUUGCUCAGCAGCGCACGGGGUUCUCUCCCCCACUGAAGAAGAUAAAUAAUUCUGAUGGAUUGGGGAUGGCGGGCACUGCUGAGCAGUCCCGCCCACCUCAAUGAGGAUUUUAGCUUGGAACUGUCGGGGGUUGGGGAGCAUCCUGGCAGUUCGAGCCCUUGGUAGGCUCAUUCAGUCUGAAGCUCCCGGCAUAGUGUUCGCGAUGGAGACAAAAUGGUACGAGUAUGAGGCACAACGUCAUAGAGGCUUGGGAGGCCUUCCAAAUGUCUUUCCGGUUCAAUGUGCAGGCCAAGGACAUUCGCGAGCAGGAGGUUUAUGUUUGUUUUGGGGUCCAGCAGUGGACGUUACCAUUAUUUCAAGUUCUUUGAAUCAUAUUUAUUUUACUGCUACUCAUGUGGAGGAGCAGAAGGUCAUGCAGAUUUUGGGGAUUUAUGGCUUCCCCGAUGAGAGGAGGAGAGUUGAUACUUGGGGUCUGGUUAAGAGACUGUUGGUUGACACUGCUAUCCCUGCGCUCUGUGUAGGGGAAUUCAAUGAUUGUCUUUCUCCGCAGGAUAAGUUGGGAGGAGACCCCCUUGAUCUUCAGCAUAUACAGAGGAUGGCUAAAGUCAGAACCGAAUGCAAUUUGCAGGAGGUGGAUUUUACAGGAUACAGGUAUACAUGGUCUAAUAAUAGGGCACCAGAUACAAUCGAGGAGAGGCUAGAUUAUGCGCUUACAAAUGACGCCUGGGAUGAAUUGUGGCCUUCAACGGUGGUUCACCAUUUACCCAGGUAUAAAUCUGAUCAUAAUCCUAUUUUACUAACUUGUGGUGUUCGCAGGAAUAGAGAAGAGAUAGGCCGAGCAAAAAUUUUCCGAUUUGAGGAGAUGUGGCUCCAAGAAGGACAAGAGUGUGCUGAGAUAGUGACAGAGACUUGGUGUAGACUGCGAAAUGACCUCCCCACCAAAAUAGCUGAGGUGGGAGGGGCCCUAAAGUGUUGGGGAAAAGACAAGUUUGGUGAUAUUCCCAGGAAGAUUUCUGAUCAGAAAGCCCUAUUGCAAGACUUGCAAAGAAAGGAUCAAACAACGGAGGUGCUGAGUGCCGCGUCAGUGGUUGAAAAAGAGCUUGAUAGUUUGCUGGAACAAGAGGAAAAGUGGUGGCGCCAACGUUCUAGAGCCACCUAGUUAAAGUGCGGAGAUAAGAAUACCAGUUUUUUCCAUAAAAAAGCAACUCAGCGGCGAAAGAGGAAUAUGAUAGAGAAAAUAGAGGAUGAUGGAGGAUGUGAAUAUGUCCAUGAUCGUGACAUUGCAAGAGUUUUAAAAAAUUAUUUUAUGAACUUGUUCUCUACUUCUAACCCUGACAGGAUUGAGGAGACCACAUCUUUGGUAGCAAACAGGCUGUCAGACUCUCAUUUGUAGGUUCUUGCUGAUCCUUUUACAAAGGAAGAUGUAGAAGAGGCCUUGUUCCAAAUGCAUCCGACCAAAGCUCCGGGAGCGGAUGGCUUCCCGGCGCUUUUCUACCAGCGGUUUUGGGAUGUCAUUGGGGACGAUGUAGCAGAGUUCUAUUUGCAGAUUUUGCAUGGGCUUGUGUCGCCAGGUAUUAUCAAUCAUACGAUGAUUGUUCUCAUUCCUAAGGUUAAGAAAGCUGUUAAUGCGACCCAGUUUAGGCCUAUUAGUUUGUGUAUUGUUCUGUUUAAUAUUGUGACUAAGGUGAUAGCAAAUAGGCUGAAAAAUAUUUUACCUGAUUUAAUUUGCGAAUCCCAAAGUGCAUUUGUACCAGGACGUAUGAUCACAGAUAAUGCUCUCAUUUCUUAUGAGUGUUUUCACUUUAUGAAGAAAAGAACUAAUGGCCGGAAUGGCACGAUGGCGCUGAAAUUGGAUAUGUCCAAAGCGUACGACCGGAUCGAAUGGUCUUUUUUGAGUUUUUUAAUGACAUCUAUGGGUUUUCCACAUAAUUGGGUGAAUUUAAUUAUGAGUUGUGUAUCAACGAUAUCUUUUUCCAUUAUGUUGAACGGUAACCCGUAGGAAAAUUUUGUCCCUAAUAGAGGUUUAAGACAAGGGGAUCCGCUUUCUCCUUAUCUUUUUAUCUUGUGUGGGGAGAUGUUUUCUGCUUUGAUUAAUAGAUCCAUUGCUUCAAAAGCACUUUCUGGAAUUAAAAUAGCGAGGAAUGCUCCUGUUAUUUCACAUUUGCUUUUUGCAGAUGAUAGUAUCCUCUUUGGUAGAGCACCAGUACAGGAGGCGGAAUGCCUAAAAGAGAUUUUAGUGACUUAUGAACGUGCUUCCGGGCAAGUAGUCAACCUUGACAAGUCAAUGCUCUCAGUGAGCCGAAACGUGCAGCAAACCAGUUUUGAUGAGCUUAAGCAUCUAUUGGGAGUAAAGGUCGUAGAGAGCUAUGACAAGUACUUGGGGCUACCAACAAUUAUUGGUAAGUCAAAACGACAAAUUUUCAAUUUUGUUAAGGCAAGAGUGUGGAAAAAGUUAAAAGGUUGGAAGGAAAAUUUUCUUUCACGAGCCGGGAGGGAAGUUUUAAUUAAAUCAGUGGCGCAAGCCAUUCCCUCUUAUGUUAUGUCCUGUUUUCUUUUACCUGACGGCCUGUGUGCAGAUAUUAAUAGCAUGAUCUCCAACUUCUUUUGGGGAGGAGAUGUAUCUCAGAAGGGGAUGCAUUGGACAAAGUGGAACAAGUUGUGCAAAAACAAAUUGGAGGGUGGUCUUGGAUUCCGGGACUUCAAGGCUUUUAAUAUAGCUCUGGUGGCGAAAAAUUGGUGGAGAAUCUAUUCCAAUCCAGAAGCAUUAGUUGCUCAAGUUUUUAAAGGUGUUUAUUUCCAGAGUGGUGAUAUGUGGGGAGCAAAAAAAGGCUAUCGACCGAGCUAUGCAUGGUCAAGCAUUCAUAAAUCGGCUUGGGUUUUUCAGAGAGGUGGUUUAUGGCGUAUUGGUAAUGGUAAGAGAAUUAAUCUGUGGACAGACAAUUGGUUGCCCGGAGGGGCACCCACUCUUUUCCGGCAGGAUGUAGUCGAGGAGCUUAAUAUACAGGUGGUCAGUAAUUUACUUGAGCCAGACACUUCCAGAUGGCACUCAGAAUUAGUGGAGCAUAUCUUUCACCCAGGGACAGCUAGGCGCAUCAUGGGAGUGCCCCUUGCUACUCAAGCACGGGAUGAUUUUCUUUGCUGGCCUUUCACCAUGGAUGGGAGGUACUCUGUUAAGACUGGUUACCAUUUUGUUUGUACUGCUUGGGAGGGUGAUGUUGUAAGACCCAAGUUUUUAAGUUUAGAAUAAGUGAAUAAAAUCCUAUUCACGAUUAGGGUUGAUGUAUCGUUAAGGGAAAACCUGGACAAAAGUUUACUAAAUGAAAUAAAUUUAUGAAGGAGAAAGUUCAGGAAAAGUCUAAGGAGUGUAUCGAAGUCGAUAAAAGUUAUAGCACGACUAAUAUACGCUUAAACCUAGGGCAAAAACGCUAGUAAAUAGCUAAUUUACACUUUAAGACACGAUGGAAACUAAUUCCAAAAAUCUUCAGAGAAAUGUUAGAACUUCUCUUAUUCGUCUAUAGACAAGCAUUUCGAUACGAAACCCUGGAAUGUACGAACGUCAAAUUCCAAUACUCGGAAGUUUGCCGAAACCAAAACCCUGAUAGUUCAAGAAACCUAAAAUCAACGGACGAUGAAGACUUUUUCUAUUCGGAGCUUCAAAUGAAGAUUCCACACGCGUACACCCAUUUCUCUUGAUGUUUUCAAUCUUUCUUCAGAAGGAAGUUUUCUCUUCCGACAUCCACUGCAAAAAGUAACUUAUCGGGUAAAAUAGAUUUACACCGACUUUGCAUUAUGCACCUAAAAUCCAAGGAACCUCUUUUGAGUUUUGGAAUUCUGUCGCCAAAACCUAUCUUAGAAUUCACGGAGAAUGAAGCCGGAAAAAUCGGAAUCGCGAAACUUUCAUUUUCCCGCGUUUUUCCAUCCUCUAUAUAUAGCAAGAAAAUGAGAAAAAUGGCAAAACUUCACCAUUUUCUCUCCCAAAACCCGCGAGCUUCACCAAGAGGAGGAGGAGAAGAGAUUUUCGCCAUUUCUUGCUUGAUCGUUGAUUCAACAGUUGCUACUUGAAGGUAUCGAGGUAUAGUCGCUAAUCCUUACCUCUGAUCGUCGUUUCCGUAGCUUUUCACUAUGUCUUUCUGUGCUCUUAGUUUUGAGGUUUUUGCAAAACUAUCCAGAUAACUUCAUUUUUCUAUCUAAACAUCUUCCCUACGUGCCCAAGAGCAUGUUUAGCGAAUAAUAUUACGCCGAUUCUCGAAAAACUAUCGUCGAGUUUCAAUUCUGCUUCAAAUACCCAUUUUGGGACAAAGUUUCGUCCUUUGGGCUGAAAACUAUCGCCUUAGCUUAGUGCUAGUAGGAUUAGUCGUCAUAAACGUCGUUGGUGACGUCCCCAUCCAAUUUGCUUUUCGAAAUUUCAGUUUUGAAAUUCUGAGCUAAAAAUAUUGACCAAAAUACCCCUGCGACAGUUUUCGAUCCGAUUCCGAGUUUAGAUUAACCUUAGUUACGACUAAUAAUAACCUAGGAACCAAGUUUGAUCGAAGAAAAAUCGACACACACAAUUACCAUGUGUGGCCGUGAGCACCCUAGGAGGAGGAAGAAAAUUCUUUUUUCGAAAACUUGUUCUUUCGCGCUAGAUUAUCGUACCUCGGAGUAUAUGCUACUUCGAGUAACCCUAGUAUUUAUUGUUUGCUGAGUUUCUGACUCAUUGUGAUUGAUUUCUGUGGUUUUGCUCUAAAGGUUCUUUUGAGGAAUUUCCUGAAGAGCAAGGAGUUGAUUGUGUAGGAACGUUCGAAGAGAACCCUGGAGAAUCUACAGGUGAGGGCUUCUCACUGAAGUAUUAGUUAAUGCUUUAGGUGUCGACGUAUUCGACUUGAUUUACUGUUUAUGCACUUGUUUGUGUUUGAUUGGGAAAAGUUUUCUGAGGCUUCGACUGACAAUGUAGAUGAUUCAUCUACUGACUGUUUUUGAGAUUGAAUUACAUGGUACGUGCUAAAUGGUUAAUCUAGGAUGUGUGAUAUUUGCUUUAUAUGCUAAGUGCUACGUGGUUAUUCUAGGAGAUGUUGAUAUAUGUGACAUGCUUGUUGACUGUGCUGAUUUAUCUAUGUCAUUUCACAUAUGUCUGUGGUACUGAGGAGUGAGAAUAACGGGCAGGUCAUGCCGAUUUUAUUUUGAGAUUUUGGAGAAAGUUUGAUAGGACGAACGAAGAUUCGGGCCUUGUUAUGGUCUUCGUGGAUCGAGACACUCUCGGGGAGUUAAUUGGGAUUAUGGGACUUUGGAAACUCAUAAGAUUUGCGAUAAGACUAAUGGAAACUAUUUUAUAAGGAAAAUUCAUAAGACAUUAAACAACCUCUAAAUCUUCAAAUAAUGACAACAAACUCGAAAGAAAGCUUAGGAUUCAAAUCUUAGUUUUGGAAAAGAGGGAGUGUCGUCGGAUCCAAGUGUUGAGAAAAUUAAUAAGUUCUGAGUACGUUGAUACUCUUGUGCUCGAGUAGCAGUUGUGUUGUUGGGCUAUCUGAGAGAUAAGCCGAGGAAACAGGUAGUUUCCGAGUAUGUUGAUACUCUUUGCUCGUUGAGCCGUUUUGACCAUCGGAUGGAGAUGAGUCGGAUGAUUUGGAGAUCAUCAUGAGAGAAUGUGUCGUUGUAAAGGAUUGUCUUUUGUCGCAGAAUCGACUUUACCUUAGGGUAUGUUUUUAGAGACAAUAAGUUAGCCAGAACACGUGGCGACGUGUCGAGUGAGGUCGGAGACGUUGUUUGGCUAAUCAUUUUGCAUUCAUGCACCAUUAAUGAGGUAUUAACACGAGACGAACUUCGGACCUCGGUGGAUUCCAAAAUGGUCAUAAGACCCGGAUUUCCGCGUAAGAGCGCUAUUAGGCGACUCUUAGUAGCAGACCGAAAUGGCAGGCCUUCGGGUUUUAUGCUGAUCUGACUACCGUUGUUGUUGGAGUAAGAGGCACGCGGGCCGAAAUGGUCCCACCGUGGCUGGUGCUAGGGCUGAUCCGUUGAUGUCCAUCCCUUCCGGAAUGCAUUUGGUUAACUGGGUUAACCGGCAUUUGCAUUUCACGCAACAUGCAUACUGACUUAGUUGCUGAGUGUGUUUGAUACUUGUUAAUCCUAUUUGAUGCAUGCUAUUUGUUAUUACUGUCGUUUAUAUUCAUUGUGGAAUAUGCAACCUUAGGAUGCUAUCUUUAACUUAUAAGCCUAAGCGGCUGUCUCUUAUCUGUACCUAUUGGGAUUAUUAAUUACAUAAUUCUUUGGAGUUGACCCUCGCGUCUUCUGUGUGUGCUUUGGCGGACUACGCCCUUUGUCAGAUGUCUUUAGCGGAUUGGUUCACGAUGGUCCACCCUUCGGGGGGGACUAGAUAUGAGAUGAUAGAUCAGGACGACCCCGCUAGCCAUCGAGCGACGUACUCGGGGAGGAUCAUGGAGGAUCGCGUAGACAGCGGAGGACACUUGAUGGAAGGAGUGCUGAGGAAGUGCACUGUCAGUUUCAACUUGCCGCCCGGCAUGCACUGCGAACCAGGAGUAGGAGCACCACCACCACCGUCAUCUUCUGAUGAUGAGGACCCCUCAGAGGAGGAGCCUGUGGGAGUGACUUCUUCAGAGUCCAGCUCACCCACGGUUGCUAUUAUUGACGAUCAUGGUUCGGGCCCUAAGCCCGUGAGGCCAGCACCGGAGCGCAUCGCGGUUGCGAGAGGAGGACGGAUAGUGUUCGUAGACUUGGUCGUUCUGGAUUCAGAUUCGGACGACGAUCAUGCUAGCACAUAGUUUUGAGUGCUGGUGUGAGCUCCUCGAGAUAGGAUUAGUGUAGGAGUAGAGUCUUAGCUCUGACCGUCACUGUUUUCUUUGGGGACAGGGUAGUUUCCCGCCUAUAGCUUUUUGUGUGGUUCCUCUACUGGAAUCAUAGAGAGUUGGUUGGGCUAGGAGGUCUUGUUUUAGGCCGAUUGGGCUAACUUAUUCUCAUUUUUGAAGGUUUGUGUUGCGGACACUUAGCCUUUCCUGUCGGUUUGUACAUAUUGCCUACGGGCGUUACUUUUCUUACUUCCCGUCACUGGAGGUUUACUCGUGACGUGGUUUGCUACUUACAGCGGGGGUUGUAAUUAUUAUUGUAUAUUAGUUUUGUUACCUUUUGUUGUCUAGCUUUAUUUCUUUCAGUUUUAAUUCUAUUAUCGAAAAAAAAAAAUAUAUGCACGUUUUUCCGCUUUAAGUUUCUUUUUUGUUACUAAAGUGACGCCACCGAAAUCGGUGUGUUACAGAUGUGGCCUCUUCUUCAUCACAAACCUCUCUCUCAAAGCAACAAUGGCAGAAGUUUUGGGGCUCAAGUGCGUUGCCCAGGUGCAAAGAGAUGGCUUGGAGGCUUAUUCGUGGAUUCGUACCAGUGAAUUCAGAACUGAAGCGGAGACAUAUGGAAGUAGAUGAGCAGUGCGUGUGGUGCUGUCAAGAAAAUGAGACUUUGGAGCAUGUUUUCCUCUCUUGUACAGCUGCCAAAAUGUUAUGGUUUUGCUCUCCUUUAGCUUUGAGGACAAAACAGUUCACGGUUUGAUAGACUUAUGGGUGGCGGUGCUUCAUGAUGGGGAUGCAGAUUUUAUUGGGAUGGUCCAGACCUUAUGUUACGCUCUUUGGGAAGCUAGGAACAGGUGCGGGUUUGAUCACAAGUGUUUCUCUCCGUUGGAAGCGGUGCAGCGCUCGCAAAGGCUGCUGUCUCCCCCGUGAGUGGACACGCCAGCCCCACCCUCUCGCACGGUUCAGUACACAACGUGGAGAAGGCCAGGUCGAGGGGUGUUUAUGAUCAAUUUUGAUGCCACUUUUGUUGAGGGACAACCGUCGCUAUGGUAUGGUGGCGCGAAACUUUGAAAGGGAAAUUUUGGCCUCGGCGACGGCGUAUCCCGUGGCAUCUCUUUCCCCUCUCUUGGCGGAAGCGGGUUGUUUCCGAUGGGCUCUUCGGUUGGCUAUUGAGUUGGGUUUCCGGAGGGUUGAAUUCCAGACUGAUUGCUUACAACUUUUCAAUUGGUGGAAAUCUCGUAGGGAGGGUGUUUCGUUCCUAGCUACGACUGUUCGUGAAUGUCGUUUUUUAAUUUCUGGUUUUGAUGUUUUUACUUUAUCUUUUGUAAGACGUUCUGGUAACGCAGCUGCUGACUGUUUGGCUAGGAACGCCUCUACUUACGCUGAUAUGGUGUGGGUGGACGAAGUUCCGGAUUGUGUUUUCCAUGUGGUGGCUCAGGAUGUUUUGGCUUCUAUGCCUCCUGAUGCCUAAUUUUUAUAAAAUCACUUUCAAAAAAAAAAAAAUUCGUGCAUGUUUGGAUCAGGUUUAUAGAUAAAUUUGAUUUUCAUAAAAUUGAUUAUUUAUAGUAGAAAUCAGUUAAAAAUUAAGUGACUUAUAUUUUCUUUUACAUUGGAAAAAUAAAUUGCACCCUCUAGAGAUCGAUCUUUAGACCUUUUCUCCAAACCAUAUGUCCCCAUGUUUUUACCACUUGAGUCAUCAUUCGAGGACAAAGAGGUUUAUAUUUGAAUACAUUUAUGAAAAAGUGAUUCAUGUUGAUGAGGUAAAUCAUAAUCUCGCAAUUGAUUAUUUCAAUGUAAAAGUUAUUCUCUAGCAUCUACAAGAAUUAUUUUGAAUUUAAAAUUAAUUCUCCAAAAUAUCUCAUAAGCAUCAAACUUUUAUUUAUAAUUAAUCCUACACUACCAAUAUUGAUUAUGAGUUUCCAAAUAGAAAAUCAAACACACUCCUUGUUUGAUUAGGAAGAACCAUAAGGAAAAUAAAAAACAUACUUUUCUUUCCUUUAAUUUUAAAUGAAUGUGUUAGAUGAGAAUUUGUACGUGAAAAAUUGUCCAGAAUGUAAUUCAUUUUAGUUUUCCUAGUUUUGGUUUAUGACGAUGGGUGUUUGGUUUGUCAUUGGCCUUCGGAAGUUCCGACAAAGAGGGUUGAGUCCUGAAAUAAAGCAUUGAAGAAAAAGUAAAGAUGAAAUAUGUGGAAAAAAUAAUCACAUUUAACGUCGUAUCUUAUGGAUGAAAAUCUUUUGUCCACACUUGAUAUCUUAUUCUUUUUUUUUUGAAAUAGUAUGUUAUUCUUGAUCUCACUGAAAGAAAAUGUUUCGUGUUUAUUUCAUUCAAUCAUAAGAUCGAAUAUACAAGAGUAACACAUUACAAACAAGGAAGGUCAACUAGACUACUAUGACCAAAAUUAUUAUGUUACUGACUACUAAUAUUAAAGGUACACAAAGAUCCUAAAAUUAUUUACAAAAUUAUUCUAUCAUUCACCAAUGGAAUUAUAUUUAGUAGAUCACAUGAGUAUGAUACUUAUAAAUCAUAAGGUGCUUGCUAUGGUACCUUAAGCCAGACUAAGGUGUGAUACCCAAAAUGAGUCGAUUUUAAUAAUAAAGACACAUGUACCGGUUAAAAUUUUGAUUGUGUUCUAUCGUAGUAAUGCAACGUUCCAUUCUUAGGGACGUGAGAUUUGAAAGUUGUGUUUUCUGAGCUUUGUGCAUCCACCAACCAUGGUCAUUUUACGCGCAUCUUCAUCACCAUUAUUCGUUUCCACCACUCGUACAUUUUUCAUCAAAAAAUGAAUUUCAUGAGAUAAAGUUAAUUGACAAGUAAAUUAAAAUCUAAGAGCAUCUCCAAUGGUAGGAACUUAUUUUGGGACUUAACUCAAUUUUUGUGGGCCCAAAUUGCCACAUAGGAUUUAAGACACCCAUAAGGUCUUCAUGCAUAUUUCACUCUAGUGGUUGGGAUAUUAUUUUACUUUUGACUAGACCCACAGUACCCAAUAUAUUUAUAUUAUUUAUUUCUCUCCCUAAUUUUCACUUUGGUUAUGGUAUUGAAGGAGAGAGAAAAAAAUAUUAUUUUAUUUAAGAUCCCACAUUUGAGAGUACCUGAGCUAAGGCACGGAUCUUAGCUUUUGCUAAGAUCUCAUGCCAUGUAGGAUAGCUCUAAUGGUGAGAUCUAAUAAGAUCCAGAUUUUAUUUUAAGGUCCCAAAAUAAGGACUCCAUUGGAGAUGCUCUAAUGAUGUAGUAUUUACCUUGAAUAACAUGAUAAUAAUUUAUAGAAUUAUUAAUGAGGUACCAUACCCAAAAAAAAUUUGAGGGUACCAUAGAAUUUACCAAAUUAUAAUCGUACAUGUGUGAAUAGGGCAGAGAAUUUCACCCAUAACAUUGGUGAAAAACAGUCCAUGGUGUAACGUACACAACAAUGUCUCUUUUCACGCAAAGGAAGUGGUGUUCUGAAGGCUAACAUUUUGUGUUUUGACUAGAUUGGCAAUUAGCCAAUAAUUAUGCUCAAUUUACCCACCACAUUCAAAACCUUAUGCAAAAGAAAACAAAAAUGACAAAAAAAAAAAAAAACACAUUUCAAGUGGAGCAUGAUAACAUCGCAUGUCUUACAAGUGAUAGGUUCAAGCCCACACUUAUUUCAUAUGAAAGGUUUUUCCUACCUUAAAUCAUGGCAACAUUCACUCACCCUAGAUUUUGUUAUUGACUUUGUAAGGAAAUUUAAUUUUAGUCAUUCUAAGAAAAACUUACGUUUAGUGACAGCCACUUUUAUAAUUAUUGACAAUUUUUUACCGUCACGAAGCGUUAUUUUUACUUAAAAAAAGACUAAAAUCAAAUCCUUAGAAAUUCAGAGAAUAAUUUAACCAUUAACCCUAAACCUAAAGUGUCUUGUUUUUUGGUAUAUUAAAUUGUUGUCAUAAUUUCGGUCGUGAAAGUCAAACGUUUUCGAAAAUGUAAUACCUAAAAAUUGAGCUUUCGACCUAGAUAUAAACAGUCAAUUUUUAACACUGCGAUCGGCACUCGAAAGUAUAGUGUGUUUGCUUUGCCUGAUGUGUAAGAAAGAAAGUUGAGAAAUAAUUGAAAUUGAAGAAAAGCUCCAAGUUGGUCAGCUUUCGAUUAUCAUCAUCGAAGAAUAAGCAACCAUCCACAUCUUGCUGCUGCUACUACCAAGCUAGCUAGCUCUUCUGUACCUCUCAUCUUCUUCUCUUAGACAUGGGUUCUUCUUCUAGUCGUCUCGGGUCUCGCUCUUCUCCUCCUCGGGUCAACAACAACCGCUUCAGACUAUCCUCUCUUCUCUGUGGAUCCUCCGCUUCCCGCUCUACAACUCCUCAGGUACCCGAUUUUCUUAAUACCCAUUUCGUUUUUACGCUUUUUCAUUUCGAAAGUUUGAUUUUUAUCAUCUGGGUUGGUCCAUUCGAUUUACUUUUGAAUUGGGUAGCUUUUGUUUUUGGGGAUGUAAGUAUAAAAUUGAUUUGCUAAAAGUCCAAUCAAUUGUGCUUGACUUAUAUAGAUAAAGCAAUUUUUGUGAUAGACUGAUAGUAUUUGGCUUUUUUGUUAGCUGAUUGAUUACAUCAUUUGAAAAAAAAAAUUGAUUGUGUGAGAAUAUUGUGAGCUUGGUUAUAUAAUUAUAGUUUGUAGGUUCUAUUGAUUAUCAUAGGAAUCUGAUAGUUUGCUAGUUGAUUAAUACGGUUUGACGCAUAUGAGCCUAACUAAUCUAUGAAAUUAUCUGCUGGUGCCUGUGGUAGUGUGGUAUAAUUCUUUAUCACAAAUUUGGAUUUAGCUUGUUUUAUUAUUUUAUUGUAUUCACUAGGUGAUUGAUUCAUGGAACGGUUCAAGUCUCUUCGGUCUUGAAAGAUUAAAAUUUCACUCGUUACUAGUUUUUUUAUUUUAACUUUUUUCUUCAUUGGCACUCCUUUACUUUCCAAUGAUUUGAUGAACUUCUUUAAGUUUUAGAGUCAUGUUGAUCCUAAUAAGUUUAUGCAUCUCAGCAUCUAUUCAAGGGUGAAUUUGGAAAAUCGUAUUUGUUCUUAACUUGUUGAGUAUUGUUUCAAGGAAAACUGAAUGCAUGAGUAUGUAUGACUUGAAAAUUUAUCCACAAGCCAUUUUAUCUGGUCUCACACAAGCGAUAAUUUGUGGAUGCUGGAUAGCCGUUAAAUAGAUACUGGGAGUGACUGAUACAGGAAAUUACAUUCUUACAUUGUGUUUUUAGAUGGAAGAACGUCCAUCUGAGCUUCAGGUUGGUUCGGCAAGAGAUUUUGAUGAUGAAAUUCAGAAAGCAGCCUCUGAGGAAUCGUCUUUAUCAUGUACAGAAGCUAGAACUAGCUAUUGUCCCCGUGCUGAAACUUCAACCUCAUCUGAUAUGGGAGUUGAGUUCUGUGGUGAUAAAACCGUUGAAGGUUCUUCCAGAAAUGUUGCAGCAAAUAGUCAGAGGAAGUGUUUGUCUGAACGUCAGGAGCUAGUUCCUCCUUAUCAGGUAAGCGCCGAUAAUAGUCGUCAUGAAUCAUAUAGUGAUAGUAGCAACACAGCUAGUACUUCAUCUGUUGAACAUCAGUCUUCAGAUCCAGUUUCUAUAAGUGUUUCUGCUAACAAGGAUGCAGUCAAUAAUGUUGAUGAUCCAGUGUUUAGUGGUAUCUGUCAAACCUCUCGUGACACGAUGUAUCCAAGGAGUUCAACCCCUCAAGAGCGUGGAAAUACCAGUUCUGAUGAAAUUUCUGUUGAGAAUCACACUGGUGCAUUCACAUCUAUCCAGAGUGCUCCUUCCAAUCCUGUUGCUCAAGUUUCCAAUAUAAUGGCAAUUUCUCAAGUGCCAGAAGAUGAACCUCUUCGCGAGGCAAUACCUUCAGGUUUAGGUUUUCUUGUGUCCAAUCGGGAAACAGGGCAGGGAGAUGAUAGCGUGAUUCAAGUUGACGUGGUCACAAUAUCUUCCAACAUUUUGUCAGCAAGCAAUGCAGAUGCCAAUGAUCAUGAUUCCAGAAGAAAUGGUAGAAGAUUAUUUUGGGAUGCUUUUUCACGACGUAGCUCUGGAAGGCUUGGUGAUUCUCCGACCAUUGUCUUCUCCAGUGGAGGUGCUGAUGAUACAGGAUCUCAAGAUCGAUGGCUCAUUGAUUUUAGCGGUGAUUUACCAAAUGAUAGGGUUGGGGAUGAUGCUGGAAAUCCUGGUCGUAGAACUCAUAGAUCGAGUGAACGAAUGCGGCACCCAAGAUCUGAGGUGAUUCUGAAUAUUUGGAGUAUAGAAUGCUUUAAAUUGUUUAUGUCACCUACUUGCAUUUAUUAAAUGGGCUUGUGAUCCCUUUCAUGUAACAUAAGCUGUUUACAUUUCUUUAUAUAGAUUUGGGAAAGGCUUCGUGGUGGCCUUGAUGAGAUUGGUCGGUUGAAUUCUUCAUGUCCAUUAGGACUCCAUGCUGAUGGUAUGUGCUCAUGCGAGUCUUUCCCAAUGGCUGAGGAAUCUAGCACUCGAGCAAGCAUUUCAAGAAUAGUCAUGCUGGCUGAGGCUCUGUUUGAGGUUUGAACCUUCUCUCCAGUGUCUUUUUUUUUUCUCCUAGAUUUAAUUAAAUUGAGUUUUCCAUCCAUCCUUAUCCCUUGUGUUUCCUGCUCUAUGAAUUUUAAUUUUAUCUCUAAAUUUCUGCGUUUGGUUUAAACAUGGUACUUGCUGAUUGGCAGUUCAAUCUGAUACCGUUGAUAGGGCAGUGUGCUUACUGCAUAAGAGCAUUUCAGGAUGCUCUCAUGCAUUUGAUUUUCUUCUUUUUGGCCUCUUUUCUACGAUAUCAUAACUUCCUGAUGAUUGAGAUUAUCUAAUUUUGAAUUUCAUAAUUAAAAGUUAGGUCUUUGACAAUCUAAUAUUGGACUGCUUCUAUUGUGCAGUUUCUCUGUAGUGAAAAACAGUUCUUUAUUCCUCUUGCAGUAGGUCUGCAGAUGUCUUGUAGCAUUUGGGUGUCAUCUGGUGUUUUAUUUUAUUUUAUUAGAAGUACAUCAUUUCAAUCUAGCUUUGCAUUGGCGACUUUUCAAAGGGGGGCGGGUUGCACCUCUCACUACUCGGUAAAUUAAGAAUGAAUAUAAUGAAAUGUCCAAUAUGAUCAAAUUAUUCAGAAUGUUAUUAUGUUCUGUAUUUUAAAGUAUGUUUGAGUUCUUGUCAUCAUGCCCACCACAGCUUGAUUGGGUAUAUCAUAAUACUCAGAGUCACAGGCUCACCCUUGUAAGGUGGUCUUCAUAUUCUGAACCAGAUCCCUCCUUUUCAAUUGUCUGCAGUACUUUUUUGUGUAAUAAUUUCAUUUCAUUCACUUAGAUGUAAAAUCUAGCUUGGUUUGUCUUUCAAAAAAAAAAUAGUACCUUAAAUGGAAGCCAGUUCCUGUAACUGAAGGCUCUUCAGGUCAUGAAUGGUGGUAGGCAUGUGUUAUUAUGCUCGGUACACAGAUGCUUUGAGCUUAAAGAACAGUGUUUUCCAUGAUGAAUCAUAAUUGAUUUGAACCUAUUAUUUUCUGGUUACCUGAGAUAUCCGUCUUUAGGUAUAAUUAUCUGGCCAAAAAUGGUUCUAUACUUUACUAUUGGAUUAUGAGAACUGAAAUGCCGAAAGCAAUUUACAUAGGGCAGCAUAUUUUUCCUCUGCAGGUUUUAGAUGAAAUCCAUCGGCAACCUGGAUCACUUUCCCUAUCCAUGGUCUCACUCCCCGCACCUGAAUCAAUUGUUGACUCCUUCCCUCUGAAGUCUCACAAAAAGGGCGAUGCAGCUAAUGGAGACAAUGAUGCUGAACAGUAAGCCUUUAGAUCCCUAUUAUCUUAAGCAAAUAUGUUUGGAUGAAUAAUAUAUGUGGUAGUAUGGCCAUAGUUAAGUGUGUGUUUGGAUACUAGUCGAGUGUAAUGUGAAUGAACUUUCAUGAGUUUCAUCUCAAUCCAAAAGAAAGUUCCAUUCACUUUUUGUUUCGAAGUGAGUACUAGCGUCCGUGUGCACAAGUGUCAACGUGUAAUCCAAGCAUAGCCUAACUAGUUUUUCACUUAUGUAGUCUGUCAGUGUGGUUAUGAUACUUUUUUUUUGUUGGUUUUGAAUGCUUGAAAAGUUCUUCCUUCUCCCACUAUUAUCAAAAUUUAAUAAAUGAAUUUUGUAGAUGUCACAUAUGCCUGGCUGAGUAUGAAGAAGGGGACCAAAUACGAGUUCUUCCUUGCAACCAUGAGUACCACAAGUUGUGUGUUGACAAGUGGCUUAAGGAAAUACAUGGGUAUUGUCACUGUAACCAAAAAUCGUUCAUUCUUUUCAUAUCUAUCAAUUUCCAUUACAUAAAUAACCAUUUUUUUCUGCUUCCCUCUUUUACAGUGUGUGCCCUCUUUGUCGUGGCAAUGUUUGUGGAGAGUUGUCUGCUACCUACUCAGUAGUGCAGUCUCAAUGAUAUUGUGUACAUAGAUGUAAAUAUUCAACUAUAGACUAAAGUACCAUCUGGGUCAUCUAAAGAUACACCUAACAUCAAUUUGAUCCUUCAAAUAUUUUUAUCAUCAAUACGGUUCGAAUUGAUGUCACAUCAAAUUGGAUGGAAGGAUUAUUUUGUCGUCGCUUUAAAUUUUCAAAGAACUAAUUGGAGAUCACAAUUAUUUGAAAGACUAAAUUGGUUUGAAGUGUAUUUUAGUCUAAAAUCAAUGUCACCCUUGGGCCUUGGCAAUCAUAUCUAUAAACCCUUAUAUUUAAACUGUGUUGGGAUGUUUUUUCAUCAACCAAAACAAGAGGGGAUUGACUACAAAGGAAACGGGGAAAAAAGAAAGAAAGAUAGAUUAGGAAUAUAGUUAAGAAAUGGUGCAAAAUCUUUGUUUCCUCCCCAUUUCACCCCAACAUAGAAAAUGCAUGUUUGUUUUUAAGUUUAAAUCCACAGUUUGGAGCUUUGAAAUUCUAAAUCCUGAAUUCUCAUGGCCCCCAACAUGAAAGGGACUUUAGCCUUUUGUUGGUGUUUAACUGAGAAACAAACAUGUAACAUGGUCUUGGGGGGGAAUUGAUUGGGAAUGGUUCCUCUCAAGUUCUAUUCGCCUCUUGUACAUUGUUAAUUUCCAAAUAAGAAAUUGUUUUUCUUCUCAUUAUUGCUUUUGUUCCCUUCAUUAUCUAUCAUCCAAGCACGGUUCAAGUACAGUAGUUAUAUCAUGAGCUUGUGCUCUAUGCAAGAAUCCAUUUUAUGAUGAAACUUGUUUGGAUCUAUAGUAUUUGUUCUUCAGACUCCCAUCUAGGAAACAUCAAACUAAAAUUUUUUUGAUUUGGCAAUGUUGCAAGGAAAAUAAAUUUCAACGAAAGGAAUAAAACAGACAAUCAAAUUAUGCAUUUAAAAUUGUAAGGUGAAAAAAAAUGGCUUAGCACUAGAAAUGCUUGAUAGUUGAUAGAACUGUGAAAAAGACUAAUACCAUCAAAGUAAGAUUGUCAAUGAAGAUCUAGACAGUACUUACAAGUCUCUUUGCUUGCCUUAACAAUAUAACAACAAAUACUUUACUGCAUAUGGAUUUCCUAGAGAAGCUGAUUCAGACUUCAGCUUAAUCUAGUUCCACUUGCUCUCUCCAUAACCAUGAGAAAAUGGAUUGAUGUUACUGCUGCGAGCUGAAUUAUCAUGAUGAACAAAAAGAUUUGGAUGAAUAUUUUCAUCAUCCUCAGAUGUUGUCCACCGCCUUGAGUUGCUGCCAUGUUUUUCUCUAGCAACAUUGCGCAUGUUCUCCAUCUCUCCUACAUGGUUUUUGAAUUCCUUCUUCACCACGUCCAGCACCACAUCACCGUAUCUGUCACACCAUGAUCUUCAACACACAAAAGAAACACAAGAAAGUACACAGUAAGUAACACUAAUCCUCUGAUCUCAGACUGUAUAAAGUGUCAAGUGAUCCAAAAUUGAAACAUGAAAAGUGGGGUUAUGUUGACUCACUUAGGAAAGUAAUUUUUCAAAUCAGCCUUGUCCACUGGAAUUCUAGUAGAAAUUGCUUCCAUCUGAUCAUUCCUGAUAUCACAACAAAUGCAGCCAAAAGUAAGUAACAUUUCUAAGCAAAGAACUAAGUGCGUGUUUGGAUACAUGGUGAGCUAAAAUCACUAUGGAUGGAAGUAAUUUCCCUUAGCUUUUGUGACUGUUCACCGUGAUCUUAGUUUUACAGCUAUUUUCCAUAGUGUAUCCAAACAUGCACUAACUAAUAUCAGUUUUCCAAAUGCAAGGAAAGUAAUUACGAGAAUUUAAGAUUUGGGUUUGUGCUGCUAAGUUCUGUCUGGAUUCUUGUCAGCUCCUUCUUUAUCUUGUCUCCCAAAACCUAUUCACAGUGAACAAGAAUUUUGUUUAACAUGUCCAAAAAUUAGCUCAAUUUCAAAAGGAAAUUAGAUUGAAAUAUAGAAAGAGAUGAUGGAUGAAGGAUCUAAAACCUUAUCUAUGAAGAAAUCAGAUGGAGAACCAUCAGAAUGUAACUUCUUCUUCAACAACUUGGUGUCUGGUCCCUCUCCAUGAACUCUUGCAAGAGACUGGGAGGAAGCUGAGUGUCCCCCACUAUCAGACCUCUCAUUCAGAGGCAAUGGAGCAGUCUCAUCAUCUGCCUCAUUUCUCUUCCAUCUCUUGAACCCAUCAAACCCCCAUUGCUUCUUCACUGGUUUCCCUGCUCUUUGCUCUGGCUCAGGACCACCACCACCACUUCCACCACCAACUCCCUCCCUCUGCUCCCUGUGAAAUAAAGUCCUAAAUGGCUUCCUCUUCAACUUCUCCGAGCCACCGGUUUCCUUCACAGCUUCCGGGGGCCCACUUUCCUCCAUGAGAAUUGUUGUACCUUCACUUUUAUUGCCAUUAGGCUCAGCAUUCCAAAAAGGGUUUUCACUGGAUUGCCUCAAUUGCAAAGAAGGUGAUUCAAAAGCACUCUUCUCCACCCCAUUUUUCCCAGGUUUGUGAGGAGAAACAAAGCCGAAAACCGAGGCUGCCCCUUUAAUCUGCUUCAAACCCGACCCCUGAUUCGAUUUUCCCUUACAAUUCAAAUUCUCCUUGUUCAUCUUCAAUCCCUUAUCAUCCUUCAAAUCAAUAACCGACCACUCUUCCUCCGAAAUCUCUCUAGGCCUCACUGCCCUCACACCAACGAUCACAUCCUUAGCCUCAAUCUGAGCACCUUGAACAGCCAAUCUCUGAAGCAAAGGUCUCUUAGAAGAAUGAUACUCUUCUUCAGAAACACACUUUGCAUACAGAAGCUCCUGCAGAAACAGAAGCUUGUCUCUGAGUAUAACAGGAUGCUCUUGUUCCGGAGGCGAAGCGAUGAGAGUCUCGAGCAAGUGGGUUCUGAAAGCUGAAACCUCAGUUUCAGCCACAAUGCCUUCUUCGUGAAGACCCAUCAAGUUCAAAAUCUGGUGGAAAGACUCCUGCUGCCAUUUGAGGUUGUCGGAUUGCAGCUUCGACAACCUUUGCUCUGCUGAGAGCAAUGAUCGUUUCUUGAAGCUGAAAGGGAGAAGGGUCUUGCAGAGUGAGGUGAUUGAGUCAUGGAGUGUUGAGUAGUAGGUUGGUGUGUAGUUUGAGUACACCAUUUUUUUCUGAAUCUUCGGAUUGUUGAAUUGGAUGUGUCUGUUAGAAUUUCUAGCUUAGAAAAGAACUCAACUCUUGGUGGUGUGUCUGUGUUGUUUGUUUUCCUGGUUUUGAAUUUUUGAGACGAUGCUCUCAAACGGUCACUUUGAUAUGGAAACUAGCCGUUGAAGACUGUGAAUGAAUAUUAUUUCAUUCAGGUAGCGCUUAUAACAACUAAAUUUUGAAAAAUAAAAGAGAAAAAUGAUGAUGCACCGACACCGUCAACCAAUCAGAUUUCAAUGAUGUGCCACGUCAAUUAAUGAAAUUAAAUAAAAAGAGAGAUUUUCUCACAUCCUUGAAAACUGAUUGGUUGACGGUGAAAAAAAUUUUACACUGCACUGUCAGUGUGUAAAGUUUAAGUGUUAUAAUCUAAGCCAUUGAUUUUGAUCUAAGGGUAGAAAAUCAAUCAUCUCACUCUCACAUAAGAAAUCUCUCUCUCACUAGAUACAUCCUCUAUAUAUAUAUAUAUAUAUAUAUAUAUUUAAAUUUCGCAUUUAAGUCAUAAUUUUACAUAUAAAAUGAAAGUUAAUAUGACUAAAUACUUUAUAUCAUAACUAAACUCUAAAUUAUUUGAUAUUAAUUUUCAUCUUAAACCAUUUCAAACCAAACAGUUAGCGUAGUAAUUCAGCAUAACGAAGGAGACGACAGUUCGAUUCUAAACUCUUAUGAAUGAAAAAAUAAAUGUGGAGAAAGAAUUAGUCUCACAACUAUGAACAAUUUAUUAUUGCACUAAAAAAGCUCCAUUCACAUGAAUUAAAUAAAAUAUAGAAAUAUUAAUAUGAUAAAUUAAAAUUAAUUACAUUUUUUUGUUUCUCAUUUUUUCUUAACAAUGGUUUCUCAUUUCUUAAAAUAUCUUCAACAUUUAAGUCAUGUUUGAUUGCAGUUUUUGAAAACACCAUUUAAAAAUUGUUUUUAGAGAUUAUUUUUUAAAGUGGUUUUUCAAAAAAAAAAAACUGUUUGAAUUAGAUAUUUUCCAACAUUAAAAAAAUUACAAUAUGAAAAAUAAAAACUGAAAUAGAAAACAUCUUUUAGUUGUUUUGGUAUUUUAGUUUUAAAAACUGAAAUUAAGAACUGUUUUCGAAAACAGUUUUAUAUUAUUCAUCUAAAAAAAGUUCGCAGAGGGGGCGUCCAAAAGGGAGUAAGAAUAAACCCAUAGCAUUGCCGAAUAAUUUUCUAGAGCCAAUUCCAAGUGAAGAUGGGGUGACAACGCGUUCGCAUAGAGCAUGGUUGAUCGGAAAGGAGUUGGGACUAAAACCACGCUGAUCAGAAGCUUUGAUGCUGAGAGGUUUAGAAGCUCAAAUCCGUGAAAAUCACCCUCACCUCAAUUGAUAUGUCGGGGCCUUGGCUCACAUGGAAUGUGCGUGGGCUAGGCGGAACUACGAAAAGAGAGGCUGUCAAAAAAGCACUUCAGCAAUUGAAACCAGAAUUGAUUCUAUUACAAGAAACAAAAUUGAAUGAGCAGAGGCAACGAACAGUUGAACAGUGGACGCAAAGUUUGCAGAUGAAUCAUGUCGAGGUUCAGUCAGCGGGAGCAGCAGGUGGCCUAAUGUGUCUGUGGAAGGAAAGCAGUUUUCAAGUUCAGUCAAUGGUGACAUACACUAAUUUUAUUUUUUUGUCUGUAAAAGUUCCAAAUUAUGAACACCCAGUUCUAGUGGGGAAUGUUUAUGGUCCCCAUUCUUUGCCGGAACGUAGAGUAUGUUUUGAGGCCUUGAAAGUGCAUGUGCUAAGUCAUACAGGUAUGAUGUUUCUUGGGGGCGAUUUUAACGCUGUUCUACUAGGAUCGGAGCGGUCUUCAGAAGGAGUUCUUGAUGUAGGCGAUGUGGUUUUUCAACAAUUUGCCACUGAUACUAACUUAUCAGACCUACCCCUGCUAAAUGGCAAGUACACGUGGUACUCAAGUCGCAACGAUGGCCUAUGGAGUCGAUUGGACAGAUGGCUCGUGUCUGACGAGGUGAUGUUAUCUUUUUCGAAUAUUUCACAAUCUGUUUUUGCAUGGAAUGUUUCUGAUCAUAGAGUUGUAGGUUUGGUGUUUGGUGAACCUGACUCUGGCCCUAAACCUUUCCACUAUUUUAAUCAUUGGGUGGAUGACGAUGGAUUUUAUGAGGUGGUCGAAAAUUGGUGGAGGUCCGCAAUUUACCAAGGUUGGUCGGGAUAUAUUUUGCAGCAAAAAUUAAAGGGUUUGAAGGGGAAAAUAAGAGAGUGGCGCAAGGGGAAAGGGGUGUGGGGGGUGGAAAAAAUUAUGUGCUUAGAGAAUAAAUUGCAGGAAGUGAUGGGGGCAAUGGAGGAGCAAGGGGGGGCGCAGUCUUUGUCUAAGGAGAGGAGGGAGAUUUUGGAAGCUCUAUGGAAAGCAUACCGCAAGGAGGAAAGAACUUGGCGUCAGAAAUCAAGGGUGCAGUGGUUGAAGGAGGGUGAUCGGAAUACAAAGUACUUUCAUCGCAUCUGUAAGGCAAGAAUAGUAAAAAAAAAAUAUUACCCAGUUAAGUUAUCAGGGAAGAGACUUAACUACCCCAGGGGAAAUCAAAGAGGCUAUGCAGGAUCAUUUUCAGAAUUUUUUCAGGAUGGCAGCUGUUACUAGGCCUUGUUUUCAUAAUCAGAACUUGAAAAAGGUGUCUGAAUCAGAAAAUCAAUUUUUAGAAGCUGAUUUUUCACUUGAUGAAAUAUGGGAGGCUAUUAAAAAUUGUGAUGGAAAUAGAGCUCCUGGACCUGAUGGAUUUAGCAUGGAUUUUUUUAAAAAACACUGGAAUCUAGUGAAGGAAGAUUUGAUGAACUUUUUUAAUGAUUUUCCCCAUACAGGGCAUCUUGUUAAGGGUUUGAACUCGACUUUCAUUGCGCUUAUUCCAAAAGGUGAUCUCCAGGAACAUAUUUCUGAUUACAGACCUAUCAAUUUGAUUGGCAGUGUGUACAAACUGUUAUCUAAGGUGUUAUCAGUACAUCUGAGUUCAAUCCUUCCUAGGCUGCUAAGUCAGAAUCAGUUUGCUUUCACAGCAGGACGUCAGAUUGCUGAUUGUUCUUUGAUUGCAAAUGAGAUUGUCCACUCUAUGAGUUCGAGGCCGCAAGGAGGUUUGUUAUUUAAAAUUGAUUUUGCAAAGGCUUAUGAUAGUGUUGAAUGGGGUUUUCUGUUGGAGCUCUUACAAGAGAUGGGGUUUGGGGAAAGAUGGAUUAGGUGGAUGUACUGCUGUAUUUCUUCAGCUACUUUGGCGGUUUUGGUAAAUGGUUCACCGUCUGAUUUCUUUUCAAUUGAAAAGGGCUUGAGGCAGGGUGAUCCUCUUUCUCCUCUUCUUUUUAACAUCGUUGCAAAUGGGAUGUCUUGCAUGUUAAACCAACUAUCAGUGAGGGAUAUCCCAUGUGGGGUGGAAAUAGCUCUAGGGCUUCGUCUCAAUCAUUUACAGUUUGCUGAUGAUUCAUUGCUUUUUACAGAUUGCGAUCAAAACCAGUAUGAGGAGAUGGCUUUGGUGGUAGAAACCUUUUUGUUUGUUUCAGGUUUAAAAAUAAAUUUCAGAAAAUCAGAAGUUUAUGGUGUGAAAGCGCCCCCCAACACUGGUACAAUCAGCAGCAAAUUGGUGGAAUUUCAAGGUUGGAUCAUUACCUUUUAUGUACCUUGGUUCACCUCUAGGAGGUAGUCCUAGGAGAUUGUCGUUUUGGAACCCAGUUCUGGAGAAAUUGGCGGCCAAGCUUUGCACUUGGAAUUCACGCUAUCUAUCACUAAGCGGCAGGUUAGUACUUGUUAAAUCUGUUUUGAAUGCCAUCCCCUUGUAUUACAUGGCACUUUAUAGAGCACCGAAGGGGAUUAUCUUGAGAAUAAAGAGGAUUCUGCGUCGUUUCCUGUGGGGAGGUGUUUCUGGCGAAAAUAAAAUUAUGUGGGUAGAAUGGGAGGAUUUGUGUAAGGGAUCUCGGUAUGGUGGUCUUCGGGUGGGGUUUUUAGAGUGGAAAAAUAAGGCAAUGUUAUUGAAAUGGAUAUGGCGUUUUGGGCGGGAAAAGAAUGCCUUUGUAAGAUCAAGUUUUGAUCUAGUAGUACAACUCUAUGUUUUGAUGAUUACAAGUUAACCUUUUGAUAUGAACAAUUGUGGUACUCUAACGUAUUUUUCUGAGUGUGCUAUUCACAGGCUCUGACCUCAACUCAAUCUCACACAAAUCAGAAGCACUGUGUAUAAAGAGCGACCCAAGCAACGCUUUCGCAUUCACCAUGUUCAGUAUGAACAGUGGAAAAGCUUCAGAAGUUCUGAAGUUAUACAAACUCUGAUGUGGACUCAGUCACUAGAAGUUCUGAAGAUCCAGAAAGUCUGAUAACCAAGAAACACUGAAGGCUCAGAUAUUCUGAUGGUGUAGAAGACUCUGAAGAUCCAGAAGCUGAUUAGUGAAAUUCUGAUGUCCAGAAGCAAGAUACUCUGAAGACCAUGUUCUUCCCUCUGAGUUCAGAAUCAGAAGAAACAAUGGUCAGAGGAUCUGGGCUUUCCCUCUGACUCUGAUCAACCGGCUUCACAAGUUCCAAUAUGAAGCAUUCCCCUGAUCAGAUGUCUCCUAGGUUUAAAGGUCAAGUCGCUAUCCAAGUACAAAAGCAACUGUACCUUCCUGACGACCUACCUAACAGUCUCAGACAUAGCAGAAGCUGGAUUUUCCAGAACUGCCCUCCAACGGUAGCAUUUUCCAUGCAACGCUCAACCCUAAUCCUUGGAGUAUAUAAAGAGGCUGAAGACUGAAAGAAGCGGCUAGAAGCAUUCACAUACGCGCAAGACAUAUUCAAAUUCUUCUAACCUUUCUUUCAUCUGAAAUUCAUUGAGUUUACUAUUAGCUUUUUAGAAGCAAAUCCCUUGUAAACAAUUCUUUGAUAAACAGUUUGUUUAGUUCCUUUAGGAGAUCAAGGUUGAUCGGAUCCUAGAGAAGACUAAGAGAGUGAAUCUUAGUGUGAGCUAAGUCAGUGUAAUUGUUAGUCACUUGUAGGUUUCAAGUGCAGUUGUAACUCUUACCUGAUUAGUGGAUUGCCUUCAUUCUAAGAAGGAAGAAAUCACCUUAACGGGUGGACUGGAGUAGCUUGAGUGAUUUAUCAAGUGAACCAGGAUAAAAUCCUUGUGUGCUUUUCUAUCUCUUAUCUUUAGCACUUAAGUUCUCGAAAGAUUUGUCAAAAUCUUUAAGGUGGAAGCUUUAUCUUGAAAACGUUAUUCAAACCCCCCCUUUCUACCGUUUUUCAUACCUUCAAUUGGUAUCAGAGCGCAAGUUCUGAUUACCACACCUAACAGUGUUCAGUGAUCCGGGCCGGUGUGAAAAACAAUGGCUGCCACCACCAGUGAAACUCAAAGAGAUGGUUACAAUGCAAAGCCUCCUAUGUUCGAAUAUUGGAAAGAUAGACUGGAAAGUUUCUUUCUGGGUUUCGAUGCAGAUCUCUGGGAUAUUAUUGUGGAUGGCUACGAGCGUCCAGUUGAUGCAGAUGGCAAGAAGAUCCCAAGGUCAGAGAUGACUGCAGAUCAAAAGAAGCUGUACUCACAACAUCACAAAGCAAGAGCAAUUCUUCUAAGUGCUAUUUCCUAUGAAGAGUACCAGAAGAUUACAGAUCGUGAGUUUGCGAAAGGCAUUUUCGAAUCUCUGAAGAUGUCUCAUGAAGGAAACAAGAAAGUCAAAGAAUCAAAGGCAUUGUCUUUGAUCCAAAAGUAUGAAUCCUUCAUCAUGGAGCCAAAUGAGUCCAUUGAAGAAAUGUUCUCCAGAUUUCAGUUGCUUGUAGCUGGCAUACGACCUCUCAACAAGAGCUACACAACAAAAGAUCAUGUCAUAAGGGUCAUCAGGUGUCUUCCUGAAAGUUGGAUGCCUUUAGUGACUUCAAUAGAGCUCACGAGAGAUGUUGAGAAUAUGAGUUUAGAAGAACUCAUCAGCAUUUUGAAAUGCCAUGAGCUGAAGCGCUCAGAGAUGCAAGAUCUGAGGAAAAAGUCCAUAGCCUUGAAAUCUAAAUCUGAAAAGGCUAAGGCUGAGAAGUCAAAAGCUCUUCAAGCUGAAGAAGAGGAAUCUGAAGAAGCAUCAGAAGAUUCUGAUGAAGAUGAGCUGACUCUGAUCUCCAAGAGACUCAAUCGCAUCUGGAAGCACAGGCAGAGCAAAUACAAAGGCUCUGGAAAGGCAAAAGGAAAGUCUGAAUCCUCAGGUCAGAAGAAGUCCUCACUUAAGGAAGUCACAUGCUUUGAGUGCAAAGAAUCAGGGCACUACAAAAGUGACUGUCCAAAGUUGAAGAAGGACAAGAAGCCAAAGAAGCACUUCAAGACAAAGAAGAGUCUGAUGGUGACAUUUGAUGAAUCAGAGUCAGAGGAUGUUGACUCUGAUGGUGAAGUCCAAGAACUCAUGGCUAUUGUCAAAGACAAAGAAGCAGAGUCAAAGGGAGUUGUUGACUCUGACUCAGAAUCAGAAGGAGAUCCUAACUCAGACGAUGAAAAUGAGGUAUUCGCUUCUUUCUCUACCUCUGAACUGAAACAUGCAUUGUCUGAUAUCAUGGAUAAGUAUAACUCCUUAUUGUCUAAGCAUAAGAAGCUGAAAAAGGACUUAUCUGCUGUUUCCAAGACUCCUUCUGAACAUGAGAAAAUUAUUUCUGAUUUGAAAAAUGAUAAUCAUGCUUUGAUCAAUUCUAACUCUGUGCUUAAGAACCAGAUUGCUAAGUUAGAAGAAAUUGUUGCUUGUGAUGCCUCUGAUUGUAGAAAUGAGUCUAAGUAUGAAAAGUCUUUUCAAAGAUUCCUAGCUAAAAGCGUGGAUAGAAGCUUAAUGGCUUCAAUGAUCUAUGGCGUAAGCAGAAAUGGAAUGCAUGGCAUUGACUAUUCUAAACCAAUUAGAAAUGAGCCCUCUGUGUCUAAAGCUAAAUCCUUGUAUGAAUGCUUUGUUCCCUCUGGUACCAUAUUGCCUGAUCCUUUACCUGCUAAAGUUGCUAAAAACCCUCUUAAAAAGGGAUCCUUCUCUAUGUCUAAAUAUCAUGCAAAUAUUCCUUUAAAAUAUCAUGUUGAGACACCCAAGGUGAUCAGAACCUCUGGGGUAACUAACAAGAAAGGACCCAGAAAGUGGGUACCUAAGGACAAGAUUAUCUAUGUUGCAGAUAUCCUUGAUAGCUCCACUGAAACACCAAUCAUGGUAUCUGGACAGUGGAUGCUCGCGUCACAUGACGAGAGAAAGACGUAUGUUCCAAGAGCUAAAACUUAAGCCUGGAGGCGAAGUUGGCUUUGGAGGAAAUGAAAAGGGUAAAAUUGUUGGUACUGGUACUAUUUGUGUAGAUAGUAGUCCAUGCAUUGAUAAUGUGUUAUUGGUAGACGGCUUAACACAUAACUGCCGGGCUGUAAGUCAGAUCGAUGGCUCUGUUCUGUUUAACAGCAAGAGGAAGAACAACAUUUAUAAGAUCAGAUAAUCUGAGUUGGAGGCUCAGAAUGUGAAGUGCCUUCUGUCUGUUAAUGAAGAGCAGUGGGUAUGACAUAGACGGUUAGGGCAUGCCAGUAUGAGAAAGAUUUCUCAGCUGAGCAAGCUAAACCUUGUCAGGGGCUUACCCAAUCUGAAGUUUGCUUCAGACGCUCUUUGUGAAGCAUGUCAGAAAGGCAAAUUCACAAAAGUCCCUUUCAAGGCAAAGAAUGUUGUCUCAACCUCAAGGCCGUUGGAACUUCUGCAUAUCGACCUUUUUGGACCAGUGAAAACUGAGUCUAUAGGUGGCAAGAGAUAUGGGAUGGUUAUCGUUGAUGACUAUAGCCGCUGGACAUGGGUAAAGUUUCUAACCCGCAAGGAUGAGUCUCAUGCUGUGUUCUCUACCUUCAUUGCCCAAGUGCAAAACGAGAAGGCUUGUAGGAUUGUGCGUGUCAGAAGUGACCAUGGUGGAGAGUUUGAGAAUGACAAGUUUGAGAGUCUGUUUGAUUCCUAUGGAAUUGCACAUGAUUUCUCUUGUCCCAGAACUCCUCAACAAAAUGGUGUUGUUGAGAGGAAGAACAGAACUCUUCAGGAGAUGGCUAGAACCAUGCUCCAAGAAACUGGCAUGGCUAAGCACUUUUGGGCAGAGGCAGUAAAUACAGCAUGUUACAUUCAGAACAGAAUCUCUGUGAGACCAAUUCUGAAUAAGACUCCCUAUGAAUUGUGGAAGAACAUAAAACCCAACAUUUCUUAUUUUCAUCCUUUUGGCUGUGUUUGUUAUGUUCUCAAUACUAAGGAUAGAUUGCAUAAAUUUGAUGCUAAAUCUUCUAAAUGUCUAUUACUUGGUUAUUCUGAGAGAUCUAAAGGUUUUAAAUUUUAUAAUACUGAUGCUAAGACUAUUGAAGAAUCUAUUCAUGUUAGAUUUGAUGAUAAGCUUGACUCUGACCAGUCAAAGCUAGUUGAGAAGUUUGCAGAUUUAAGCAUUAAUGUUUCUGACAAAGGCAAAGCUCCAGAGGAAGCUGAGCCAGAGGAAGAUGAACCAGAGGAAGAAGCUGGUCCCUCUAACUCACAAACUCUGAAGAAGAGCAGAAUCACUGCAGCUCACCCUAAGGAAUUGAUUCUGGGCAACAAAGACGAACCAGUCAGAACCAGAUCAGCCUUCAGACCCUCUGAAGAGACCUUGCUCAGUCUGAAAGGAUUGGUGUCCUUAAUUGAACCCAAGUCCAUAGAUGAAGCUCUUCAGGACAAGGAUUGGAUUCUGGCCAUGGAAGAAGAAUUGAAUCAAUUCUCCAAGAACGAUGUUUGGAGCUUAGUGAAGAAGCCUGAGAGUGUCCAUGUAAUUGGAACAAAAUGGGUAUUCAGAAACAAGCUGAAUGAGAAAGGAGAUGUAGUCAGAAACAAGGCAAGGCUAGUUGCUCAAGGCUACAACCAGCAGGAAGGAAUAGACUACACUGAAACAUUUGCUCCAGUAGCAAGACUGGAGGCAAUCAGACUGUUGAUCUCUUUCUCAGUGAAUCACAACAUAGUUCUACAUCAGAUGGACGUGAAGAGUGCCUUCCUAAAUGGUUAUAUUUCAGAGGAAGUCUAUGUUCAUCAACCCCCAGGUUUUGAAGAUGAGAAGAAGCCAGACCAUGUGUUCAAAUUGAAGAAGUCACUCUAUGGUCUGAAGCAAGCUCCCAGAGCAUGGUAUGAGAGACUCAGCUCAUUCCUUCUGGAGAAUGAGUUUGUAAGGGGUAAAGUAGAUACAACUCUUUUUUGCAAGACUUAUAAAGAUGAUAUCUUAAUAGUGCAAAUUUAUGUUGAUGAUAUUAUAUUUGGUUCUGCUAAUCAAUCUCUAUGCAAAGAAUUUUCUGAGAUGAUGAAGGCUGAAUUUGAGAUGAGUAUGAUGGGAGAAUUAAAGUACUUUCUGGGAAUACAAGUUGAUCAAACACCAGAAGGAACAUAUAUCCAUCAGAGCAAGUACACUAAAGAACUUCUGAAGAAGUUCAAUAUGCUGGAAUCUACAGUGGCCAAGACUCCAAUGCAUCCUACAUGCAUUCUGGAGAAAGAAGAUAAAAGUGGUAAAGUAUGUCAGAAGCUCUAUCGUGGCAUGAUAGGUUCACUUCUAUACUUAACUGCAUCUAGGCCAGACAUACUAUUUAGUGUUCAUUUAUGUGCUCGUUUCCAAUCAGAUCCAAGGGAAACCCACUUAACUGCUGUUAAGAGGAUCCUAAGGUAUCUGAAAGGCACCACUAACCUUGGCUUGAUGUAUAAGAAAACAUCAGAGUAUAAGCUUUCAGGUUAUUGUGAUGCUGAUUAUGCUGGAGAUAGAACAGAGAGAAAAAGUACUUCUGGAAAUUGUCAAUUUCUGGGAAGCAAUCUAGUCUCAUGGGCAAGCAAGAGGCAAUCAACCAUUGCACUAUCAACUGCAGAGGCAGAAUAUAUCUCAGCAGCAAUAUGCAGCACUCAGAUGCUCUGGAUGAAACAUCAGCUGGAGGAUUAUCAGAUCCUUGAGAGCAAUAUCCCAAUCUAUUGUGAUAACACUGCUGCAAUCUCAUUGAGUAAGAAUCCUAUCUUGCAUUCAAGGGCAAAGCACAUUGAGGUAAAGUAUCACUUUAUUAGAGAUUAUGUACAGAAGGGCGUACUUCUUCUGAAGUUUGUUGAUACUGACCAUCAAUGGGCAGAUAUCUUUACAAAGCCCUUAGCAGAGGAUAGAUUUAAUUUUAUUCUGAAAAAUCUGAACAUGGACUUUUGUCCAGAGUGAAGAUGGAUCAGAACCUCUGACUAUGAUACUUCUUGAUCAGAAGAUGUCUAGUCCAGAAGGUAACUCAAUCAGAGUGUGUGUACCCAUUGGUACGGACUCUGAAGCUGAGACAGCAACACGUGUGUCAGUAUUUCUGAUGCAUAGUUCCUUGUGCCCGUGUGACAGUCUGUCAUGUUGCGUGUAGAUGUGCUUCUCUCCUGUGUGUGAUAUGUGUAUUUACUAUUACUAUCUAUCUUUAAUUUUCAACCGUUGAUUUUAAAUUGCUUUUUGAAUCAACAACGGUUAUUUGUCAAAACCCACUAUACACACACGAUCUCCUUCACUUUCGGUUUUUACUCUCUCUCUCUUCUGCUAUUUCAAAACCGCUUACCCUCGAUUUCUCUCUCGAUCUCUCUUCAUCUUUCAACCUUCAUCUUCUACCUAAACCUUCAACCGCUCCAAAAAUGGUGAGUCAAACCAGAAGAGCUACUGCAGAUGCAACCCAGUUCCCUCAUAUGGUAGUUGGUCUAGCAACAGGUCAAAGGGGUCCUGAGAAUCCGAAUCAAGAUCAAGGUCAAGCUCAAGAGCAGAUUAUUCCGAUUGCAGAACGGGGCUGUGCCGUUCACUGCGUAUAUGCUCCUGAGGAACUUCAAGUACUGGCAGAAUGGAGAUUCGACCUCGACAACCUUGCUACAAAUGGGUAUGAUCUUCGUCCUGAAGUCCAAGCUCAAGGUUGGGGAAAUUACUUCAACAGGCUUCGAGGACCGGUGUAUGACAAACUGAUCAAGGAAUUCUGGAAGCACGCCGACUGCGAUGAUACUCAGGUGGUAUCUCACAUUCUUGGAAGGAAGAUCAUCAUUACAGAGAAGUCUUUCGUGAAUCUGCUGUGUGCAGAAACUGCUCUUGGGUAUCGUUUCCAAUUCACUGAAUCGAAGCUGAAACCCAAGACGAAGGAUGAGACCAACAAGGCCCUGUACACCAAUUACAAACCGGGCAAGACUAAUUACAAAGUGAUGGACCUUCAUCCCAAGCUCAGGAUCUGGCACAAGAUUUUGCUCAACUGCAUACACCAGAGACCAAAGGGCAGUUCCCCAGACUACAUCAACUUCAACCAGAAGGCGAUGUUGUUCUUCAUCCAAGACAAGAAGAAGAUCUGCCUUCCCUACUUCCUGUUCUCCUACUUGAAGGAGUGUAUCCGGAAGUCUCGUACCACUGCCUCCAUCAAGUCAGCAAUCAAGUAUAUUCCCUUUGGGAGACUGUUGUCUGAUCUCUUCAUUGAGAGUGGCCUCAUUCAAGAUCUGGUAAAUGCUGGAUGCACAGAGGAUCUGACCACCAUUGUCAGUGAUGUCUUCACUGCGAAUUCUCUAAAGAAAAUGGGCCUAGUCAAGAAGAAGAUUGCUCCUGCCCAUGAAGACACAUCUUCUGAAAUCAGAAGUAGAAGGGUGCCUCUGUGGACACAGGCAGACAAUCCUGAAGCCAUUAGGUGCUAUGUUGAAGACCUAAGGGCUCAAGGCUAUGAAAUUGAUCUCGAUGAAUUCUUCAGCAGACUACCGCCAGCUCCAGAGUUUCCUUCUCCUAUCAAGAAGAAAGUUCAGAGGAAGAUGAUCCUAGAAGAAUCUUCUGAGGAAUCAGAUGUCCCUCUGACCAAAGGGAAGAAGGCUGGUCAAUCCAAGAGAAAACAUGAUGAAACCAGCAAGCCAGAUGAUGGUGAUAAUGAGGAUGGUCCUCCUUCUCCUAAGAAGAAGAAGAAGCAGGUCAGAAUUGUGGUGAAGCCUACUCGGGUGGAACCAGCUGCUGAAGUGAUCAGAAGGAUUGAAACUCCUGCCAGAGUGACAAGAUCAUCAGCACAAUCAAGUAAGUCUGCAGUUGCUUCUGAUGAUGAUUUGAAUUUAUUUGAUGCACUCCCCAUAUUAGCCAUGCUCAAACAAUCUUCAAAUCCACUCCCUCCUAUUUCUGAGUCCCAACCAGCUGCACAAACCACCUCUCCUCCACAUUCCCCAAGGUCUUCAUUUUUUCAACCUUCUCCUACUGAAGCACCUAUCUGGAAUUUGCUCCAGAACCAACCCUCUAGGCCAGAUGAACCAACCUCUCCCAUUACCAUCCAGUACAACCCAUUAACUUCUGAACCCAUCAUCCAUGAGCAACCAGAGCCUAACCAAACAGAACCUGGACCCAGAACCUCUGAUCACUCUGUCCCAAGAGCAUCAGAACGUCUGGCUCCCAGAACCACGGAUACAGACUCUUCCACAGCCCUUACACCUGUAUCCUUCCCAACAAAUGUUGCUGACUCUUCUCCUUCCAACAACUCUGAAUCCCUUCGAAAAUUCAUGGAAGUUAGAAAAGAAAAGGUGUCUACCUUAGAAGAAUAUUACCUCACUUGUCCAAGCCCUAGGAGAUAUCCUGGCCCUAGACCUGAACGUCUAGUUGACCCAGAUGAACCUAUCUUGGCCAAUCCUUUACAUGAGGCAGACCCUUUGGCUCAACAAGCUCACCCUGCCCCUAACCAACAAGAGCCUGUUCAACCAGAACCUGAACCAGAACAAUCUGUGUCUAACCACUCCUUAGUUAGAUCACCCCAUCCUCUGGUUGAAACUUCAGAACCUCACCUUGGAACCUCUGAACCAAAUGCUCAAAUGUUUAACAUUGGCUCUCCACAAGGUGCCUCUGAAGCUCACAGCAGCAAUCACCCAGCCUCUCCUGAAACCAACCUCUCUAUAAUUCCUUACACUCACCUCCGACCCACAUCUCUCUCUGAGUGCAUCAAUAUUUUCUAUCAUGAAGCCUCAUUGAUGCUACGCAAUGUGCAAGGUCAGACUGACCUAAGCGAGAAUACUGAACAUGUGGCUGAAGAGUGGAACAAUCUGAGCACUUGGCUAGUGGCUCAAGUUCCAGUUAUGAUGCAGCUCCUGCAUGCAGAGGGAAGUCAGAGGAUCGAGGCUGCAAAGCAAAGGCUUGCUAGAAGGGUGGCUCUUCAUGAACAAGAACAGAGACAUAAGCUACUUGAAGCUAUUGAAGAAGCCAAAAGAAGGAAAGAACAAGCAGAAGAAGCUGCACGUCAAGCAGCAGCUCAAGCUGAACAAGCCAGAUUAGAGACAGAACGACUUGAAGCUGAGGCUGAAGCUCUUAGAUGCCAAGCACUUGCACCCGUAGUUUUUACUCCUGCUGCUUCUGCUUCCACUCCAGCCCCUCACGCUGCUCAGAAUGUUCCUUCUAGUUCUACACAGCCAAACUCGUCCAGACUCGACAUUGUGGAACAACGUCUUGACGCUCAUGAGUCUCUGCUGAUUGAAAUGAAGCAAAUGAUGAUGGAACUUCUGCGUCGAUCUGAUAAACCCUAGCUUUAGGAUCUCUUCGUUUUGAUUUCUUUUUCUUUAUCUGUGUUUUAUUUCGUUAACCUCUGGCUCUUUCUUGUUAAUCUUUACUUUGCUCGUUUGUGAUUAUCUAUGCAUAUAUAUAUAUAUAUAUCUGACAUUAUGUUUGCAAUUUUUUUUAUUAUUAUUCAUCAUAACCGCUUUUACAUCAUACAUUUUCUCUCUUUUUCCUAAAAUCCUAGAAUGGAGGAUCCCUCCUCAUUCUUCUGCACUCCUGGCGCUGCUCUGACCUCUCCUUCUCCAGACGCUCCAGUGCAUACUGGAUGUUGUUGAGCCUGUCUUUUAGCUCAUCCCUCUCCAGAAUCUCUUAUGCAGUCUUGAGCUUCUUUUCCAAGAUCUCUUUUUCUUCCAGCAGCUUUAGUUCAAGCUGGCUGAGUUCUUGCACCUCCUCCACGAAGGCGAGAAAUUCCCUCAAGUCUCUCUUCAACUCUGGACGCAGGUCCUCCUCCAGCAGUGUCCGUGUUAGCUCUGAGAUGGUUGUUGUACCCUCUGGAUGCCUAAUGUUGAGAAACAAGUCCUCCUCAAAGGCUCUCUUUCUCAGCUCCUCUAAUGCGAUCAUGUCUGACGCCAUUUUUCUCUGGUAUGAUGUUGUGAAGCUUACCCCUCUCUCCAACGCUUUAUAUAGGCUUCACUUUCUCUCUGAAAGUUAAUGCUCCUACAGUUUCUCGAGGUUAAGUUCUUGGUAACUGACCCUCCUCUUUACUCCCUUGGCCGGUGGUAAACGUUCUUAUCUUGCAUUAACUCUUCUAUUUAUUUCGCCUAACUCUGAUUCAUGCAUCGUUUUCAUUUUCUUUAAACUUAGACCUUCUCUAAGGGGGAGUACCUUGUACUUCAAGCUAAGUUUUUCACACCCCAAGCUUUUUGCUUAUGACAAAAAGGGGGAGUAAACCCAGUUUUUGAUGUGUAAGAUGUGUUAGUGUGAUUUAUUUUUCUUUUGGAGAAUUUAAGAGUUCCACCUUUAUGACCAUAGAUGUGUCACUGGGCAAAUACAAGGAAUACAUUUCACUUCUUCUGAAGUGAUUCUAAUUUGACUCUGAUACCCAAGACUCUGAUACCUUGUCCGUGACUCUGAUUACUUAUGCGCUCUGAUUACUCUAUUUUCAUCUAUGUCAUAAGUUUUUCACUCUGAACUCUUAUAUCAUUUAGCUCAGAAUCUAGACUUUACUAAUGUUUUCAUCAAGUAUUAGAUUCAGGGGGAGCUAAGCUCAGAAUCAAGCAGUGACUUGAAUUCAGAAUGAGCAAGAUAAACUAUUCACAUCAGGAUAAGUCUUGUUCUAUAUCUCUAAACUCUGAGUGAAUUCAGUUUAAUGUUUAAGAAUUGUUCAUCAAAAAUCUUAGUUUUGUCAUCAUCAAAAAGGGGGAGAUUGUAAGAUCAAGUUUUGAUCUAGUAGUACAACUCUAUGUUUUGAUGAUUACAAGUUAACCUUUUGAUAUGAACAAUUGUGGUACUCUAACGUGUUUUUCUGAGUGUGCUAUUCACAGGCUCUGACCUCAACUCAAUCUCACACAAAUCAGAAGCACUGUGUAUAAAGAGCGACCCAAGCAACGCUUUCGCAUUCACCAUGUUCAGUAUGAACAGUGGAAAAGCUUCAGAAGUUCUGAAGUUAUACAAACUCUGAUGUGGACUCAGUCACUAGAAGUUCUGAAGAUUCAGAAGGUCUGAUAACCAAGAAACACUGAAGGCUCAGAUAUUCUGAUGGUGUAGAAGACUCUGAAGAUCCAGAAGCUGAUUAGUGAAAUUCUGAUGUCCAGAAGCAAGAUACUCUGAAGACCAUGUACUUCCCUCUGAGUUCAGAAUCAGAAGAAACAAUGGUCAGAGGAUCUGGGCUUUCCCUCUGACUCUGAUCAACCGGCUUCACAAGUUCCAACAUGAAGCUUUCUCCUGAUCAGAAGUCUCCUAGGUUUAAAGGUCAAGUCGCUAUCCAAGUACAAAAGCAACUGUACCUUCCUGACGACCUACCUAACAGUCUCAGACACAGCAGAAGCUGGAUUUUCCAGAACUGCCCUCCAACGGUAGCAUUUCCCAUGCAACGCUCAACCCUAAUCCUUGGAGUAUAUAAAGAGGCUGAAGACUGAAAGAAGCGGCUAGAAGCAUUCACAUACGCGCAAGACAAAUUCAAAUUCUUCUAAGCUUUCUUUCAUCUGAAAUUCAUUGAGUUUACUAUUAGCUUUUUAGAAGCAAAUCUCUUGUAAACAAUUCUUUGAUAAACAGUUUGUUUAGUUCCUUUAGGAGAUCAAGGUUGAUCGGAUCCUAGAGAAGACUAAGAGAGUGAAUCUUAGUGUGAGCUAAGUCAGUGUAAUUGUUAGUCACUUGUAGGUUUCAAGUGCAGUUGUAACUCUUACCUGAUUAGUGGAUUGCCUUCAUUCUAAGAAGGAAGAAAUCACCUUAACGGGUGGACUGGAGUAGCUUGAGUGAUUUAUCAAGUGAACCAGGAUAAAAUCCUUGUGUGCUUUUCUAUCUCUUAUCUUUAGCACUUAAGUUCUCGAAAGAUUUGUCAAAAUCUUUAAGGUGGAAGCUUUAUCUUGAAAACGUUAUUCAAACCCCCCCCCCCCCUUUCUACCGUUUUUCAUACCUUCAGCCUUGUGGCAGAGGGUGCUCUGUGGGAAAUAUGGGUUGCCUAUGGAAUUAAUAUCUUUUAAUUUGGAUAUUUUAGCAUCUACAAAUAUGUCUACCCCUCUAGCUGAUGUGUGUGCAAUUUAGCGCGAAAGUGGGCUGGUUGGGAGUGUGUUCAAAGAUGGCUUAGCUUGUCAAGUUGGAAGGGGGUAGGUGUUUUAUUCUGGAUAGAUCAUUGGGCGGGCUCAGGUCCUUUUAGGCUUGUAUUCCCUCGUGUAUUUGCUCUAGCUGCGAAUAAGAGAGCUACGAUCAGGGAGUGUGGGGUGGUUACAGGGUCUCAGUGGGUAUGGAAUAUAGCUUUUUUGAGGGAAUUUUUGGGCUGGGAACGUCAACAGUAUGAAGAGUUACAGUGUGUCCUGAAUCAGUUGGUUCCAAAGCAGGGAGCCCGAGCAGAAGCAGACAUCAUGGUAUGGAAGCAUGACAAUAUGUUUACUGUUAAAUCUCUAUGUUCUGUAGUUGAGGCACGAUGGUUCACAGAGGACGGUUGGUCAAUUCCUAAAGUAUUAAGGCCUAUUUUACCUUCAAAAAUUGUUUUAUUUUUGUGGCAGGUGCAGAAGAAUAGAAUUGCUACUAAAGAGAAUUUGCAGCGUCGUGGUGUAGUUUUGGAGGGGGGGGGGUGGAGUGUGUUUUUUGCAUGACUGCACCUGAGACUGUGGCACAUCUUUUUAUGCAUUGUCCUAAGGUUUGGCAUUUAUGGACAUCAGUGUUAUUUAGGGAAGGAGUUUGGUGGGUGAUGCCAGAAUCGAUUCUGGAUCUUUUGGAAGUUUGAGUAUCAAUGCGGAGAACAACCUCAAGAGUUUUGUGAGAUUUGAUUCCCUAUGCGAUGUGUUGGGUAUUAUGGUUGGCUAGAAAUAAUGUGAUUUUUAAUGACAAACUUUUUGAUGCAGAGGAAGCAUGGGAGUCUCAUAUAUUUAUGAUGUUCACCUGGAUAAAAGCAUGGUGGAAGGAUUGUCCAUAUGGGGCAGAUCAAUUUGCUAGAGGUUUUACAAGAAUUGAUAUUCAAGGGAAGGUUGGUUUUCGUCAAGUGGUACCUUGGAAACCUCCUCACGGUAUGAAUUUAAAGUUUAAUGUUGAUGGGUCUUUUCAAUCUGGCAGUGUUGGAAUUGGUGGAAUUCUAAGGAAUAGUGGGGGAAGUGUGAUAGGUAAAUUCUCAAGGAAAGUUGAGGUUCAGAGAGCUGAUGAGGCUGAGGUUUUGGCCAUUUUGUAUGCUCUCCUGUUUUGUCAGCAAUACAUGAUUUUUUCAGUGGAAGUGGAGAGUGAUUCUAUUCUUGCAGUUGGUUGGGUGAGAGGGGAAAAGCAGAGACCUUGGAAGCUGGCAAAUGAGCUAAACAUGAUUGAUUACUUGAUGCCACUUGUCAAGUGCAUUGGAGUGAAGCAUAUAUUACGGGAAGGGAAUGCAGAGGCAGAUGAGUUGGCCAAGCAAGGUUGCUUUUGUAUGGAACCGGUUUGGUUAUUCUUAGGGUGCUAGAUACAUUGGUGCAAUUCACUGUUUUAGUUUUCUUUUUGCUGUAGGAAAUCUAAUAUAAGCUGAAGAACAAAUUGGUGCAUUUGGUAGCUUAUGUAGAUUCUUGGUUGCUGAACUUGCUGCUGAGUUGUAGAUUGACGAAUGCGUCACAAAUGGAAUUUUUGUAAUUGAUGUCGUUGUUGAAGUAAACAAUGCUGUUGCUGUUUUUGCUGUUGUUGUUGGCUGUUAUCACUGUUACUGCUGUUUCUGUUUUGCUGUUGCUGUUGAAAUUCUGUUGCUGUUGCUGUUGCUGUUGCUGUCGCUGUUGGCUGUUGCUGAAAUUCGAAAAUUAUAACAAUGCUGGUGCUGUUGCUGUUGCUGAAUUCCGAAAAUAAUAAGCUUGUUGGUGCGGUUUUGUUGUUGUUGCAGCUGUAUUAUGGUGCUGUUCUUGUCUGAUGUUUGUUGCACUACGAACAUGCAUAGUCUGGCUCUUCUGGGAUCUUUAAUUUCCUGUACUUCUCCCAACUACGCUAUAUUAGCUUUUUCAUGCUUGUAGGGGCUAUUUUCGUUUGAAUCUUGUUGUGAAAUGGUUAUCCCAAGAUUGUGGUACUCUUUUUCCUUGCUAGGUUUUUAUCCCAUUGGGUUUUUCCUAGCAAGAUUUUAAUGAAGCUCUCUCUUGAGAAUUCGGUUGUGCCAUUUUGCAGGUUGGUGGUGGGUUUUUAUUUCUCAGCCUCAUGUAACUUGUACUUUGCCUGUUUUGCUUCUUUGGCUCAGGCUAUUUCAUUAUUAAUAUAUCUUUCAUUUUCAAAAAAAAAAUUUAUUCAAUUUUUUAAAACAAAAAAUAGUUUUUAGAAACUUUAAUAAAAAAGGCCCUUAAUAAUUUCAUUAUUAUAAAUUCUUAUAAGUAUAAUAUUUUAUCAAAAUAAAUAAAUAAUGGAAUUGAAAAAUAAAUUCAAUUUUUUUUUUAUCUUUAACGGAUGUUCUCGCCCGUUUGAGAAAGUAAAAAAAUAUAGGUAUUCCUUACAAAAAAGACUUUUUUAAGAUCGGACUUGUAUUCUAAUUAUUACCGGAUCUAGUUUGGUUACUACUAGACUAAUACUUAUUAGUAUGCAUACAAUGUAUAAAAUGUUUAUUGGUUUAAGAAACAUUUUUUUGGAUAAAAAAUGCAUAAUUUGUUUAUCAGAGAAUACUUUUUGGUUUAAUUUUAGUAUUUAAAUUAAGAAAAAGUGUUUGUGCAAAUAUAUAGUAGCAUAACACAUGUGUUUGUGCAAAUAUAUAGUAGCAUUCCUCCUCUAAGAAAAACACACGUGAAUAAGAAUAAAGACAAGAUUAAAAAAAAAAUUAACCGUUUUUCAUUGAAAAAUGAAUAUAAAUAAUGACUAUUUUUCACUUGGCACACACAAUUUUUCCUUUACAUUCUAUUCUCUGAAGAAGACUCAAGGUUGAGCAUGUAGCCCUCCCCUCAAUUUUCAUCCACCAUUGGAGUUAAGCUUACACUUACUUAUUGCUUGCACAACACAAGGUCAUAGUAGUUUUCCUUUCACUUUGAGGUUCUUAGAUGGUACCAUGUAGAUUGAUUGUGAUAUUAUAGAGCUUAUAGGGGUUACUCAAUUCAAUGUUUACUUUACGGUGCAAAUGGGUAUUUUUUUCUUAUGACCUAUGUUUAAAAAGAUUGAUGCUCGCAAGGUGUUUGUUAAAAUGCUUAGUUAAUAGAAUGUUUAGCUAGUGUGUGAUUGGGUAAGAGAUUGUUAAGGAUCUUUGUAAAUUUGAUGUCAAAAGAUUUUUCCAAUUUGAGUACCCCAAUUAAAUGGUUUGCAUCCAAUUUGAAUAUAUAUACUUCCAAGAUUAAGGUAGCAAGAAACAGAAAUAAAGAAUAGGGGAAGAAACAGAGAUACGAAAAACAGGGAAAGGGAAAAAAGCAUUGGUGAAGCAUGGGUGAGUGAUAUCGUUGUGACCAUGAAGUAUGUUCCAGACUUUAUUUACCUAUGUCGUUGUGAUGCCAAGCAUCUUCCUGACUUCCCUUUAGAGUAUAAUUUAAAGAGCAUGUUAUAUAGCUAUUUGAUAUUCAAUCUAUCAUAGUCGGUGCACUGUUAAGUAUCCUCUUCAUAUGUACCUUAGAUGCAUGAAAUGCACAUCAUAUUGUUUUUUCCAAAUCUAUUGUUUGUUUUACUGUGCAAAUGAGCAGUUGUUUGUUGAAAUGCUUAGUGCGUGAUUGUGUUGAGUGAUUAUCUUUGCAAAUUUGAUGCAAAUACAAAUUCUAAAUCAAGGUCAACAGUGGAGCACAUUUCAAACAAGAAAAGGAAGCGCGGUUCAAACAAGAAAAAGAAAGAUGCCAAGAAGAAGAAGAUUUUUUUUCAAAGAAGACAAAGGGGACAAAUGACUAUUUAUAACAUAGCAAUACAAUAAUUACUCUUAUUUUGUAGGUUGAAGCCAAGACUCUAAUCAUUAGCAUAUUGUACACUAAAUCCCCAGAGAAUGAUAGGUUGCAAUGGUGCCAUCAGGAUGCGUUAACACUCAAAGAAAAACUAACACCACUUGGAUUCAUGGACACAAAUAUAUUGAUGAUGUCAGAUAGUUACUAAAGCAAAGAAGAAUCAGAAUGUCCUAGUAUACAUUGGAAGUCAUGGUGUUCUUGAUGAUUAUAACAAUGAGAUUUUAGCAUCAGAUGGAGACGUGGUUAAGGGUAAGUAUUUUGCACAAUUUGGAAAUUUGUUACAAAACCAUUGAGUAAUACAACUUUUUUCCUUUGACAGAUGAGCUAUUCUCUCAAGAAGACUCAAGGUUGAGUAUGUAGCCCUCCCCUCCACUUCCAUCCACAAAUGGAGUCAAGCUUGCACUUACUUAUCCCUUGCACAACACAACGUAAUAGUAGUUCUCAGAUCAUACCAUGUAGAUUGAUUGUGAUAUUGUAGAGCUUAUAGGGGUUACUCAAUUCAAUGUUUACUUUACGAUGCAAAUGAGAAUUUUUUUCUUAUGACCUAUGUUUAAAAAGAUUGAUGCUCGCAAGGUGUUUGUUAAAAUGCUUAGUUAAUAGAAUGUUUAGCUAGUGUGUGAUUGGGUAAGAGAUUGUUAAGGAUCUUUGUAAAUUUGAUGUCAAAAGAUUUGUCCAAUUUGAGUACCCCAAUUAAAUGGUUUGCAUCCAAUUUGAAUAUAUAUACUUCCAAGAUAAAGGUAACAAAAAACAGAAAUAAAGAACAGGGGAAGAAACAGAGAUACGAAAAACAGGGAAAGGGAAAAAAGCACAGGUGAAGCAUGGGUGAGUGAUAUCAUUGUGACCAUGAAGUAUGUUCCAGACUUCCAUUAUAUCACAAAUGCAACGUUGUGAUCAUGAUUGAGAAAGUGUCACAAAUGCUUUGCCUAUGUCGUGGUGAUGCCAAGCAUCUUCCUGACUUCCCUUUAGAGUAUAAUUUAAAGAGCAUGUUAUAUAGCUAUUUGAUAUUCAAUAUAUCAUAGUCGGUGCACUGUUAAGUAUCCCCUUCAUAUGUACCUUAGAUGCAUGAAAUGCACAUCAUAUUGUUUCUUCCAAAUCUAUUGUUUGUUUUACUGUGCAAAUGAGCAGUUGUUUGUGGAAAUGCUUAGUGUGUGAUUGUGUUGAGUGAUUAUCUUUGCAAAUUUGAUGCAAAUACAAAUUCUAAAUCAAGGUCAACAAUGGAGCACAUUUCAAACAAGAAAAGGAAGCGCGGUUCAAACAAGAAAAAGAAAGAUGCCAAGAAGAAGAAGAGAGCCGAUUGUAAAGUAGCAUCAACUUCAGCUUCAGUGGAGCAGGUAUACCUUCUUUUUGUCCAAAGAAGAAAAAGGGGACAAAUGACUAUUUAUAACAUAGCAAUACAAUAAUUACUCUUAUUUUGUAGGUUGAAGCCAAGACUCUAAUCAUUAGCAUAUUGUACACUAAAUCCCCAGAGAAUGAUAGGUUGCAAUGGUGCCAUCAGGAAGCGUUAGCACUCAAGGAAAAGCUAACACCACUUGGAUUCAUGGACACAAAUAUAUUGAUGAUUUCAGAUAGUUACUAAAUCAAAGAAGAAUCAGAAUGUCCUAGUAUACGUUGGAAGUCAUGGUGUUCUUGAUGAUUAUAACAAUGAGAUUUUAGCAUGAGAUGGAGACGUGGUUAAGGGAAAGUAUUUUGCAAAAUUUUGAAAUUUGUUAUAAAACCAUUGACUAAUAAAAUUUUUUCCUUUGACAGAUGAGCUAUUCUCUGAAGAAGACUCAAGGUUGAGUAUGUAGCCCUGCCCUCCAUUUCCAUCCACCAUUGGAGUCAAGCUUGCACUUACUUAUUUCUUGCACAACACAAGGUAAUAGUAGUUUUCCUUUCACAUAUGUGUUUGGUCCUAAGACUAAAAGGAAGCGCCCCUGCCUCUUGGCUUUUGAUUAUCAGUCCUUAGCUAAGAAAGCUCAUGUUGCACAAGGUAAAACUUAUGGCUGGCGUGGCUUAUUUCUGAUUUAGCUUUAGCAUGUUGGAUUCUUUGUGUUUUUCAAUUAACUGUGAUCCGUGGAAUUAUAGCUUCAUGUGGCAGUACUUGUUUUUUGGGAUAGGUCACCACUUCAACCGUUAAUGUAAUUGUUGUUAUAAUCAUUUUCCUAUAUCACUUUGCAGACGCUUUUGAAGAAAAGUAUGGUGCAGGUGCUAGUGGAACUCCACAAGCUAAUGAAGCAGAUGGAUUUAUAGAUUUACUGGGGCAUACCAUGUUUCAGAAAGGUCAAAGCAAGCACAUUUCAGGUAAGCUCUACAAGGUCAUCGAUUCUUCAGAUGUUGUUGUCCAGGUAAAAUCUCAUCUUUUGCUGUAAUUUUGUUCAACUUUCUUCAUAUCACUAUCAUCAUGCAAGUGUGUUAUCCCAAGUAUUGAUGUUUAUGUAUCAUAAUGCAGGUUCUAGAUGCAAGGGAUCCUCAAGGCACACGGUGUUACCAUUUAGAGAAGCUAUUCAAAGAAAAUUGCAAGUACAAGCACAUGGUGCUUUUACUGAACAAGGUAAUGGCUAAUUCGCAUCAUUGUAUUUGUAUCUUCUUGUUAUUGUUCUAAAACUUCACUGAACAUCAUAACUUGCUAUUUUCGGCAUUUUAAAUCAUCAUUUUUUUAGUGUGAUCUGAUUCCGGCUUCGGCAACAAAAGGGUGGCUUAGAGUUUUGUCAAAAGAAUAUCCAACUCUAGCAUUCCAUGCAAGCAUUAACAAGUCCUUCGGAAAGGUAUAUUUAGUAUACCUUAGUUAUUUGUUUAGUUUAUCCAUCAAUUUACUGAAUGUGGUAUCCUUCAUGAAGGAAAUGAAAGAUUAUUGAAGUUGGAGAUAACACAUCUUGCUUUCUCUCAUUUAACUAGUCCAUUCAUUCAUCAAUUUGAUAUUUUCUUAAUGGUCAUUAUCAUGCAAUAGGGCUCACUUCUAUCGGUUCUGAGACAAUUUGCUCGAUUGAAAAGUGAUAAGCAAGCAAUAUCUGUUGAAUUUAUUGGAUAUCCAAAUGUUGGGAAGUCAUCAGUGAUUAAUACGUUGCGAACGAAAAAUGUAAAUAUUCUUUCUCCUUAACUGCUUCAGGCUUCUGUUUAAUUUGUUUAGUAUGGAAGCUUGAAAUUAAUGAAAGCAUAGAAGCGCAAAUUUAUCCUCUAUGGAAUCAAUAUUUAAAACUUUGUUGUCGAAUGAGCAUUUUAUCAUGUUGAUUGACGUGUGCCAUUAUGUGUCAAAGGUCGGCAAGGUUGCUCCAAUUCCAGGGGAAGCAAAAGUAUGGCAGUAUAUAACUCUUACAAAGGUCGGCAAGGUUGAUCGACUGUCCAGGUGUUGUUUACCAAAACAAGGAUUCUGAAGUAGAUGUUGUGCUGAAGGGCGUGGUAGGUUUCCUCCUGUGUUCUUCAAUUUUGUUUGUCAUUCACCUUAAUAAAUAAUAUUAUGGUCAGACUUUUUUUUUGUUUAAUGUUAUUUCUGCCGAACACAAUGGCUUUGGUUGUUGUAAUUUGUUUUUAGUGCUUUUCAUUUUAUUAUUUAGGGAUAUGGUGUCAACCAAUCAACCCGGUAGUCUCCAGUGAUAUAUAUUUUGUUGAGUUGUUGUCUAGUGGUAUAGUAUACAUUUUUAUAUGUAAAACUUAGUCCCAUAAUGAGCUAUUCUUAGGGUUUGCAAGACUGAAUAUGGGCUACAGGGCUAGUGGAUUAUCUCUUUAACCCAGGUUCAAACACACUAGUGGUAUCUGUGGCAUUCUUGCCCACAAAAUAUGAUUAUGAUCAAUAUUGCUUCUCCCCUUAUGUUGAUUUGUUAGAUUGGUGACUAAUUGUUAUUGAUAUGUUCCGAUGUAUUGAGUUAUAGUGAGUUCACCUACCAACCUAAUGAUCAUAGCUUUUAUUGGGUUGUUUUAUGUUACAAAUUCUAAAUCUGUUUGCCUGGGCUCAUGCUUGUUUUGCUUGCUCAAUGAAUAAUUUACUCCUGCUUUCAUAUUCUAACAGAAAUUCGUGUGAAAUUUAUUUUGCAUAUUAGUUGUGUAGAAUGUAGAUAUGUUGUAGUAGUAAUAAUACAAAUAAUAAUAACAAUAAUUGUAGAGUGUACAAUUAUCAUCAUCAUUAUAGUCUUGGCUUAGUACUUGAUUUAUUUUCAGGUACGUGUAACAAACUUGAAAGAUGUUGCGGAUCGUAUAGGUGAGGUUUUGAAACGUGUGAUGAAGGAGCACUUGCACAGAGCAUAUAAAAUGAAAGAGUGGUAUGUUUUCUUGUCUCCUAACUCCAUGGUGACAAGUAGGUCGCUCUAGAGUGUUCUCACCUUUUGUAAUUGUGUUGGCAGAAAACGACCUAAGUUUGCAAUCUUUGGCAUUGAGAAAUCUGUGUUAUUGUAGUUGUUAUAUAAGAACACCAUUAUCAUACUGUGUCAUCCAACCAACCCCAUGAAAUUGACCUAAGUUUGCAAUCUUUGUCAACUACUCCUUCCGUUCCAAUGCAUUUUUUUUCUCACUUUCUUACUUUUAUAUCAUCAUUUAGUUUUAUAUCUCUUCCCUACCACCUUCAAUUGUCACCUAUCACAACUCUCACUAUGCACUUAAAAAAUAAUUAUUUUUCUCUCUACUUAAUAUAGCUAAACUUUAAAGCGUAUUUUAGUCAACUAUUUUAUCAAAUAGUGAUUUCUUAAUUCUCGUGCAUAACCUUAAACAACAUAAAUAUUGAAACGGUGGGAGUGCAAAACUAUAGACUUUUGAAAAUAGAAAUUGUUUAAAAUUGACAGCCUGAGACUAUUAUAUCAGGCUGCAACCUUUUGCUCAUUUGGUCUGAAUCGUAAAAUNNNNNNNNNNNNNNNNNNNNNNNNNNNNNNNNNNNNNNNNNNNNNNNNNNNNNNNNNNNNNNNNNNNNNNNNNNNNNNNNNNNNNNNNNNNNNNNNNNNNNNNNNNNNNNNNNNNNNNNNNNNNNNNNNNNNNNNNNNNNNNNNNNNNNNNNNNNNNNNNNNNNNNNNNNNNNNNNNNNNNNNNNNNNNNNNNNNNNNNNNNNNNNNNNNNNNNNNNNNNNNNNNNNNNNNNNNNNNNNNNNNNNNNNNNNNNNNNNNNNNNNNNNNNNNNNNNNNNNNNNNNNNNNNNNNNNNNNNNNNNNNNNNNNNNNNNNNNNNNNNNNNNNNNNNNNNNNNNNNNNNNNNNNNNNNNNNNNNNNNNNNNNNNNNNNNNNNNNNNNNNNNNNNNNNNNNNNNNNNNNNNNNNNNNNNNNNNNNNNNNNNNNNNNNNNNNNNNNNNNNNNNNNNNNNNNNNNNNNNNNNNNNNNNNNNNNNNNNNNNNNNNNNNNNNNNNNNNNNNNNNNNNNNNNNNNNNNNNNNNNNNNNNNNNNNNNNNNNNNNNNNNNNNNNNNNNNNNNNNNNNNNNNNNNNNNNNNNNNNNNNNNNNNNNNNNNNNNNNNNNNNNNNNNNNNNNNNNNNNNNNNNNNNNNNNNNNNNNNNNNNNNNNNNNNNNNNNNNNNNNNNNNNNNNNNNNNNNNNNNNNNNNNNNNNNNNNNNNNNNNNNNNNNNNNNNNNNNNNNNNNNNNNNNNNNNNNNNNNNNNNNNNNNNNNNNNNNNNNNNNNNNNNNNNNNNNNNNNNNNNNNNNNNNNNNNNNNNNNNNNNNNNNNNNNNNNNNNNNNNNNNNNNNNNNNNNNNNNNNNNNNNNNNNNNNNNNNNNNNNNNNNNNNNNNNNNNNNNNNNNNNNNNNNNNNNNNNNNNNNNNNNNNNNNNNNNNNNNNNNNNNNNNNNNNNNNNNNNNNNNNNNNNNNNNNNNNNNNNNNNNNNNNNNNNNNNNNNNNNNNNNNNNNNNNNNNNNNNNNNUAACAGCUGCCAUCCUGAAAAAAUUCUGAAAAUGAUCCUGCAUAGCCUCUUUGAUUUCCCCUGGGGUAGUUAAGUCUCUUCCCUGAUAACUUAACUGGGUAAUAUUUUUUUUUUACUAUUCUUGCCUUACAGAUGCGAUGAAAGUACUUUGUAUUCCGAUCACCCUCCUUCAACCACUGCACCCUUGAUUUCUGACGCCAAGUUCUUACUGCGCCCCCCCUUGCUCCUCCAUUGCCCCCACACUUCCUGCAAUCUAUUCUCUAAACAAACAAUUUUUUCCACCCCCCAUGCCCCUUUCCCCUUGCGCCACUCUCUUAUUUUCCCCCUCAAACCCUUUGCGGACCUCCACCAAUUUUCGACCACCUCAUAAAAUCCAUCGUCAUCCACCCAAUGAUUAAAAUAGUGGAAAGGUUUAGGGCCAGAGUCAGGUUCACCAAACACCAAACCUACAACUCUAUGAUCAGAAACAUUCCAUGCAAAAACAGAUUGUGAAAUAUUCGAAAAAGAUAACAUCACCUCGUCAGACACGAGCCAUCUGUCCAAUCGACUCCAUAGGCCAUCGUUGCGACUUGAGUACCACGUGUACUUGCCAUUUAGCAGGGGUAGGUCUGAUAAGUUAGUAUCAGUGGCAAAUUGUUGAAAAACCACAUCGCCUACAUCAAGAACUCCUUCUGAAGACCGCUCCGAUCCUAGUAGAACAGCGUUAAAAUCGCCCCCAAGAAACAUCAUACCUGUAUGACUUAGCACAUGCACUUUCAAGGCCUCAAAACAUACUCUACGUUCCGGCAAAGAAUGGGGACCAUAAACAUUCCCCACUAGAACUGGGUGUUCAUAAUUUGGAACUUUUACAGACAAAAAAAUAAAAUUAGUGUAUGUCACCAUUGACUGAACUUGAAAACUGCUUUCCUUCCACAGACACAUUAGGCCACCUGCUGCUCCCGCUGACUGAACCUCGACAUGAUUCAUCUGCAAACUUUGCGUCCACUGUUCAACUGUUCGUUGCCUCUGCUCAUUCAAUUUUGUUUCUUGUAAUAGAAUCAAUUCUGGUUUCAAUUGUUGAAGUGCUUUUUUGACAGCCUCUCUUUUCGUAGUUCCGCCUAGCCCAGGCACAUUCCAUGUGAGCCAAGGCCCCGACAUAUCAAUUGAGGUGAGGGUGAUUUUCACGGAUUUGAGCUUCUAAACCUCUCAGCAUCAAAGCUUCUGAUCCGCGUGGUUUUAGUCCCAACUCCUUUCCUAUCAACCAUGCUCUCUGCGAACGCGUUGUCACCCCAUCUUCACCUGGAAUUGGUUCUAGAAAAUCAUUCGGCAAUGCUAUGGGUUUAUUCUUAAUUUCUUUUGGACGCCCCCUUUGCGAACUUUUUUGAGAUGAAUGUGUAUUUGGAGAAUUGAGGGGAGUCGGAGCGCUUGAUACUGUGGGUAUGACCGACAAGGAUUUCUUUGGCGUCUGUGGUUCCUUGUUCUCACGUGACAGCAACUUACUUGAUGUGGGGGAAGAAACUUGCCGAACAAUUUGAUGAGAAGAGGUUCUGAUGAAGGUUUCACGUGUUACGUGAGUUUCAUCCUCUAGUGCAGAAGUUGGCGGGNNNNNNNNNNNNNNNNNNNNNNNNNNNNNNNNNNNNNNNNNNNNNNNNNNNNNNNNNNNNNNNNNNNNNNAGCGAGAUAUAUAUAUAUAUAUAUAUAUAUAUAUAUAUAGAGGAUGUAUCUAGUGAGAGAGAGAUUUCUUAUGUGAGAGUGAGAUGAUUGAUUUUCUACCCUUAGAUCAAAAUCAAUGGCUUAGAUUAUAACACUUAAACUUUACACACUGACAGUGCAGUGUAAAAUUUUUUUCACCGUCAACCAAUCAGUUUUCAAGGAUGUGAGAAAAUCUCUCUUUUUAUUUAAUUUCAUUAAUUGACGUGGCACAUCAUUGAAAUCUGAUUGGUUGACGGUGUCGGUGCAUCAUCAUUUUUCUCUUUUAUUUUUCAAAAUUUAGUUGUUAUAAGCGCUACCUGAAUGAAAUAAUAUUCAUUCACAGUCUUCAACGGCUAGUUUCCAUAUCAAAGUGACCGUUUGAGAGCAUCGUCUCAAAAAUUCAAAACCAGGAAAACAAACAACACAGACACACCACCAAGAGUUGAGUUCUUUUCUAAGCUAGAAAUUCUAACAGACACAUCCAAUUCAACAAUCCGAAGAUUCAGAAAAAAAUGGUGUACUCAAACUACACACCAACCUACUACUCAACACUCCAUGACUCAAUCACCUCACUCUGCAAGACCCUUCUCCCUUUCAGCUUCAAGAAACGAUCAUUGCUCUCAGCAGAGCAAAGGUUGUCGAAGCUGCAAUCCGACAACCUCAAAUGGCAGCAGGAGUCUUUCCACCAGAUUUUGAACUUGAUGGGUCUUCACGAAGAAGGCAUUGUGGCUGAAACUGAGGUUUCAGCUUUCAGAACCCACUUGCUCGAGACUCUCAUCGCUUCGCCUCCGGAACAAGAGCAUCCUGUUAUACUCAGAGACAAGCUUCUGUUUCUGCAGGAGCUUCUGUAUGCAAAGUGUGUUUCUGAAGAAGAGUAUCAUUCUUCUAAGAGACCUUUGCUUCAGAGAUUGGCUGUUCAAGGUGCUCAGAUUGAGGCUAAGGAUGUGAUCGUUGGUGUGAGGGCAGUGAGGCCUAGAGAGAUUUCGGAGGAAGAGUGGUCGGUUAUUGAUUUGAAGGAUGAUAAGGGAUUGAAGAUGAACAAGGAGAAUUUGAAUUGUAAGGGAAAAUCGAAUCAGGGGUCGGGUUUGAAGCAGAUUAAAGGGGCAGCCUCGGUUUUCGGCUUUGUUUCUCCUCACAAACCUGGGAAAAAUGGGGUGGAGAAGAGUGCUUUUGAAUCACCUUCUUUGCAAUUGAGGCAAUCCAGUGAAAACCCUUUUUGGAAUGCUGAGCCUAAUGGCAAUAAAAGUGAAGGUACAACAAUUCUCAUGGAGGAAAGUGGGCCCCCGGAAGCUGUGAAGGAAACCGGUGGCUCGGAGAAGUUGAAGAGGAAGCCAUUUAGGACUUUAUUUCACAGGGAGCAGAGGGAGGGAGUUGGUGGUGGAAGUGGUGGUGGUGGUCCUGAGCCAGAGCAAAGAGCAGGGAAACCAGUGAAGAAGCAAUGGGGGUUUGAUGGGUUCAAGAGAUGGAAGAGAAAUGAGGCAGAUGAUGAGACUGCUCCAUUGCCUCUGAAUGAGAGGUCUGAUAGUGGGGGACACUCAGCUUCCUCCCAGUCUCUUGCAAGAGUUCAUGGAGAGGGACCAGACACCAAGUUGUUGAAGAAGAAGUUACAUUCUGAUGGUUCUCCAUCUGAUUUCUUCAUAGAUAAGGUUUUAGAUCCUUCAUCCAUCAUCUCUUUCUAUAUUUCAAUCUAAUUUCCUUUUGAAAUUGAGCUAAUUUUUGGACAUGUUAAACAAAAUUCUUGUUCACUGUGAAUAGGUUUUGGGAGACAAGAUAAAGAAGGAGCUGACAAGAAUCCAGACAGAACUUAGCAGCACAAACCCAAAUCUUAAAUUCUCGUAAUUACUUUCCUUGCAUUUGGAAAACUGAUAUUAGUUAGUGCAUGUUUGGAUACACUAUGGAAAAUAGCUGUAAAACUAAGAUCACGGUGAACAGUCACAAAAGCUAAGGGAAAUUACUUCCAUCCAUAGUGAUUUUAGCUCACCAUGUAUCCAAACACGCACUUAGUUCUUUGCUUAGAAAUGUUACUUACUUUUGGCUGCAUUUGUUGUGAUAUCAGGAAUGAUCAGAUGGAAGCAAUUUCUACUAGAAUUCCAGUGGACAAGGCUGAUUUGAAAAAUUACUUUCCUAAGUGAGUCAACAUAACCCCACUUUUCAUGUUUCAAUUUUGGAUCACUUGACACUUUAUACAGUCUGAGAUCAGAGGAUUAGUGUUACUUACUGUGUACUUUCUUGUGUUUCUUUUGUGUGUUGAAGAUCAUGGUGUGACAGAUACGGUGAUGUGGUGCUGGACGUGGUGAAGAAGGAAUUCAAAAACCAUGUAGGAGAGAUGGAGAACAUGCGCAAUGUUGCUAGAGAAAAACAUGGCAGCAACUCAAGGCGGUGGACAACAUCUGAGGAUGAUGAAAAUAUUCAUCCAAAUCUUUUUGUUCAUCAUGAUAAUUCAGCUCGCAGCAGUAACAUCAAUCCAUUUUCUCAUGGUUAUGGAGAGAGCAAGUGGAACUAGAUUAAGCUGAAGUCUGAAUCAGCUUCUCUAGGAAAUCCAUAUGCAGUAAAGUAUUUGUUGUUAUAUUGUUAAGGCAAGCAAAGAGACUUGUAAGUACUGUCUAGAUCUUCAUUGACAAUCUUACUUUGAUGGUAUUAGUCUUUUUCACAGUUCUAUCAACUAUCAAGCAUUUCUAGUGCUAAGCCAUUUUUUUUCACCUUACAAUUUUAAAUGCAUAAUUUGAUUGUCUGUUUUAUUCCUUUCGUUGAAAUUUAUUUUCCUUGCAACAUUGCCAAAUCAAAAAAAUUUUAGUUUGAUGUUUCCUAGAUGGGAGUCUGAAGAACAAAUACUAUAGAUCCAAACAAGUUUCAUCAUAAAAUGGAUUCUUGCAUAGAGCACAAGCUCAUGAUAUAACUACUGUACUUGAACCGUGCUUGGAUGAUAGAUAAUGAAGGGAACAAAAGCAAUAAUGAGAAGAAAAACAAUUUCUUAUUUGGAAAUUAACAAUGUACAAGAGGCGAAUAGAACUUGAGAGGAACCAUUCCCAAUCAAUUCCCCCCCAAGACCAUGUUACAUGUUUGUUUCUCAGUUAAACACCAACAAAAGGCUAAAGUCCCUUUCAUGUUGGGGGCCAUGAGAAUUCAGGAUUUAGAAUUUCAAAGCUCCAAACUGUGGAUUUAAACUUAAAAACAAACAUGCAUUUUCUAUGUUGGGGUGAAAUGGGGAGGAAACAAAGAUUUUGCACCAUUUCUUAACUAUAUUCCUAAUCUAUCUUUCUUUCUUUUUUCCCCGUUUCCUUUGUAGUCAAUCCCCUCUUGUUUUGGUUGAUGAAAAAACAUCCCAACACAGUUUAAAUAUAAGGGUUUAUAGAUAUGAUUGCCAAGGCCCAAGGGUGACAUUGAUUUUAGACUAAAAUACACUUCAAACCAAUUUAGUCUUUCAAAUAAUUGUGAUCUCCAAUUAGUUCUUUGAAAAUUUAAAGCGACGACAAAAUAAUCCUUCCAUCCAAUUUGAUGUGACAUCAAUUCGAACCGUAUUGAUGAUAAAAAUAUUUGAAGGAUCAAAUUGAUGUUAGGUGUAUCUUUAGAUGACCCAGAUGGUACUUUAGUCUAUAGUUGAAUAUUUACAUCUAUGUACACAAUAUCAUUGAGACUGCACUACUGAGUAGGUAGCAGACAACUCUCCACAAACAUUGCCACGACAAAGAGGGCACACACUGUAAAAGAGGGAAGCAGAAAAAAAUGGUUAUUUAUGUAAUGGAAAUUGAUAGAUAUGAAAAGAAUGAACGAUUUUUGGUUACAGUGACAAUACCCAUGUAUUUCCUUAAGCCACUUGUCAACACACAACUUGUGGUACUCAUGGUUGCAAGGAAGAACUCGUAUUUGGUCCCCUUCUUCAUACUCAGCCAGGCAUAUGUGACAUCUACAAAAUUCAUUUAUUAAAUUUUGAUAAUAGUGGGAGAAGGAAGAACUUUUCAAGCAUUCAAAACCAACAAAAAAAAAGUAUCAUAACCACACUGACAGACUACAUAAGUGAAAAACUAGUUAGGCUAUGCUUGGAUUACACGUUGACACUUGUGCACACGGACGCUAGUACUCACUUCGAAACAAAAAGUGAAUGGAACUUUCUUUUGGAUUGAGAUGAAACUCAUGAAAGUUCAUUCACAUUACACUCGACUAGUAUCCAAACACACACUUAACUAUGGCCAUACUACCACAUAUAUUAUUCAUCCAAACAUAUUUGCUUAAGAUAAUAGGGAUCUAAAGGCUUACUGUUCAGCAUCAUUGUCUCCAUUAGCUGCAUCGCCCUUUUUGUGAGACUUCAGAGGGAAGGAGUCAACAAUUGAUUCAGGUGCGGGGAGUGAGACCAUGGAUAGGGAAAGUGAUCCAGGUUGCCGAUGGAUUUCAUCUAAAACCUGCAGAGGAAAAAUAUGCUGCCCUAUGUAAAUUGCUUUCGGCAUUUCAGUUCUCAUAAUCCAAUAGUAAAGUAUAGAACCAUUUUUGGCCAGAUAAUUAUACCUAAAGACGGAUAUCUCAGGUAACCAGAAAAUAAUAGGUUCAAAUCAAUUAUGAUUCAUCAUGGAAAACACUGUUCUUUAAGCUCAAAGCAUCUGUGUACCGAGCAUAAUAACACAUGCCUACCACCAUUCAUGACCUGAAGAGCCUUCAGUUACAGGAACUGGCUUCCAUUUAAGGUACUAUUUUUUUUUUGAAAGACAAACCAAGCUAGAUUUUACAUCUAAGUGAAUGAAAUGAAAUUAUUACACAAAAAAGUACUGCAGACAAUUGAAAAGGAGGGAUCUGGUUCAGAAUAUGAAGACCACCUUACAAGGGUGAGCCUGUGACUCUGAGUAUUAUGAUAUACCCAAUCAAGCUGUGGUGGGCAUGAUGACAAGAACUCAAACAUACUUUAAAAUACAGAACAUAAUAACAUUCUGAAUAAUUUGAUCAUAUUGGACAUUUCAUUAUAUUCAUUCUUAAUUUACCGAGUAGUGAGAGGUGCAACCCGCCCCCCUUUGAAAAGUCGCCAAUGCAAAGCUAGAUUGAAAUGAUGUACUUCUAAUAAAAUAAAAUAAAACACCAGAUGACACCCAAAUGCUACAAGACAUCUGCAGACCUACUGCAAGAGGAAUAAAGAACUGUUUUUCACUACAGAGAAACUGCACAAUAGAAGCAGUCCAAUAUUAGAUUGUCAAAGACCUAACUUUUAAUUAUGAAAUUCAAAAUUAGAUAAUCUCAAUCAUCAGGAAGUUAUGAUAUCGUAGAAAAGAGGCCAAAAAGAAGAAAAUCAAAUGCAUGAGAGCAUCCUGAAAUGCUCUUAUGCAGUAAGCACACUGCCCUAUCAACGGUAUCAGAUUGAACUGCCAAUCAGCAAGUACCAUGUUUAAACCAAACGCAGAAAUUUAGAGAUAAAAUUAAAAUUCAUAGAGCAGGAAACACAAGGGAUAAGGAUGGAUGGAAAACUCAAUUUAAUUAAAUCUAGGAGAAAAAAAAAAGACACUGGAGAGAAGGUUCAAACCUCAAACAGAGCCUCAGCCAGCAUGACUAUUCUUGAAAUGCUUGCUCGAGUGCUAGAUUCCUCAGCCAUUGGGAAAGACUCGCAUGAGCACAUACCAUCAGCAUGGAGUCCUAAUGGACAUGAAGAAUUCAACCGACCAAUCUCAUCAAGGCCACCACGAAGCCUUUCCCAAAUCUAUAUAAAGAAAUGUAAACAGCUUAUGUUACAUGAAAGGGAUCACAAGCCCAUUUAAUAAAUGCAAGUAGGUGACAUAAACAAUUUAAAGCAUUCUAUACUCCAAAUAUUCAGAAUCACCUCAGAUCUUGGGUGCCGCAUUCGUUCACUCGAUCUAUGAGUUCUACGACCAGGAUUUCCAGCAUCAUCCCCAACCCUAUCAUUUGGUAAAUCACCGCUAAAAUCAAUGAGCCAUCGAUCUUGAGAUCCUGUAUCAUCAGCACCUCCACUGGAGAAGACAAUGGUCGGAGAAUCACCAAGCCUUCCAGAGCUACGUCGUGAAAAAGCAUCCCAAAAUAAUCUUCUACCAUUUCUUCUGGAAUCAUGAUCAUUGGCAUCUGCAUUGCUUGCUGACAAAAUGUUGGAAGAUAUUGUGACCACGUCAACUUGAAUCACGCUAUCAUCUCCCUGCCCUGUUUCCCGAUUGGACACAAGAAAACCUAAACCUGAAGGUAUUGCCUCGCGAAGAGGUUCAUCUUCUGGCACUUGAGAAAUUGCCAUUAUAUUGGAAACUUGAGCAACAGGAUUGGAAGGAGCACUCUGGAUAGAUGUGAAUGCACCAGUGUGAUUCUCAACAGAAAUUUCAUCAGAACUGGUAUUUCCACGCUCUUGAGGGGUUGAACUCCUUGGAUACAUCGUGUCACGAGAGGUUUGACAGAUACCACUAAACACUGGAUCAUCAACAUUAUUGACUGCAUCCUUGUUAGCAGAAACACUUAUAGAAACUGGAUCUGAAGACUGAUGUUCAACAGAUGAAGUACUAGCUGUGUUGCUACUAUCACUAUAUGAUUCAUGACGACUAUUAUCGGCGCUUACCUGAUAAGGAGGAACUAGCUCCUGACGUUCAGACAAACACUUCCUCUGACUAUUUGCUGCAACAUUUCUGGAAGAACCUUCAACGGUUUUAUCACCACAGAACUCAACUCCCAUAUCAGAUGAGGUUGAAGUUUCAGCACGGGGACAAUAGCUAGUUCUAGCUUCUGUACAUGAUAAAGACGAUUCCUCAGAGGCUGCUUUCUGAAUUUCAUCAUCAAAAUCUCUUGCCGAACCAACCUGAAGCUCAGAUGGACGUUCUUCCAUCUAAAAACACAAUGUAAGAAUGUAAUUUCCUGUAUCAGUCACUCCCAGUAUCUAUUUAACGGCUAUCCAGCAUCCACAAAUUAUCGCUUGUGUGAGACCAGAUAAAAUGGCUUGUGGAUAAAUUUUCAAGUCAUACAUACUCAUGCAUUCAGUUUUCCUUGAAACAAUACUCAACAAGUUAAGAACAAAUACGAUUUUCCAAAUUCACCCUUGAAUAGAUGCUGAGAUGCAUAAACUUAUUAGGAUCAACAUGACUCUAAAACUUAAAGAAGUUCAUCAAAUCAUUGGAAAGUAAAGGAGUGCCAAUGAAGAAAAAAGUUAAAAUAAAAAAACUAGUAACGAGUGAAACUUUAAUCUUUCAAGACCGAAGAGACUUGAACCGUUCCAUGAAUCAAUCACCUAGUGAAUACAAUAAAAUAAUAAAACAAGCUAAAUCCAAAUUUGUGAUAAAGAAUUAUACCACACUACCACAGGCACCAGCAGAUAAUUUCAUAGAUUAGUUAGGCUCAUAUGCGUCAAACCGUAUUAAUCAACUAGCAAACUAUCAGAUUCCUAUGAUAAUCAAUAGAACCUACAAACUAUAAUUAUAUAACCAAGCUCACAAUAUUCUCACACAAUCAAUUUUUUUUUUCAAAUGAUGUAAUCAAUCAGCUAACAAAAAAGCCAAAUACUAUCAGUCUAUCACAAAAAUUGCUUUAUCUAUAUAAGUCAAGCACAAUUGAUUGGACUUUUAGCAAAUCAAUUUUAUACUUACAUCCCCAAAAACAAAAGCUACCCAAUUCAAAAGUAAAUCGAAUGGACCAACCCAGAUGAUAAAAAUCAAACUUUCGAAAUGAAAAAGCGUAAAAACGAAAUGGGUAUUAAGAAAAUCGGGUACCUGAGGAGUUGUAGAGCGGGAAGCGGAGGAUCCACAGAGAAGAGAGGAUAGUCUGAAGCGGUUGUUGUUGACCCGAGGAGGAGAAGAGCGAGACCCGAGACGACUAGAAGAAGAACCCAUGUCUAAGAGAAGAAGAUGAGAGGUACAGAAGAGCUAGCUAGCUUGGUAGUAGCAGCAGCAAGAUGUGGAUGGUUGCUUAUUCUUCGAUGAUGAUAAUCGAAAGCUGACCAACUUGGAGCUUUUCUUCAAUUUCAAUUAUUUCUCAACUUUCUUUCUUACACAUCAGGCAAAGCAAACACACUAUACUUUCGAGUGCCGAUCGCAGUGUUAAAAAUUGACUGUUUAUAUCUAGGUCGAAAGCUCAAUUUUUAGGUAUUACAUUUUCGAAAACGUUUGACUUUCACGACCGAAAUUAUGACAACAAUUUAAUAUACCAAAAAACAAGACACUUUAGGUUUAGGGUUAAUGGUUAAAUUAUUCUCUGAAUUUCUAAGGAUUUGAUUUUAGUCUUUUUUUAAGUAAAAAUAACGCUUCGUGACGGUAAAAAAUUGUCAAUAAUUAUAAAAGUGGCUGUCACUAAACGUAAGUUUUUCUUAGAAUGACUAAAAUUAAAUUUCCUUACAAAGUCAAUAACAAAAUCUAGGGUGAGUGAAUGUUGCCAUGAUUUAAGGUAGGAAAAACCUUUCAUAUGAAAUAAGUGUGGGCUUGAACCUAUCACUUGUAAGACAUGCGAUGUUAUCAUGCUCCACUUGAAAUGUGUUUUUUUUUUUUUUUGUCAUUUUUGUUUUCUUUUGCAUAAGGUUUUGAAUGUGGUGGGUAAAUUGAGCAUAAUUAUUGGCUAAUUGCCAAUCUAGUCAAAACACAAAAUGUUAGCCUUCAGAACACCACUUCCUUUGCGUGAAAAGAGACAUUGUUGUGUACGUUACACCAUGGACUGUUUUUCACCAAUGUUAUGGGUGAAAUUCUCUGCCCUAUUCACACAUGUACGAUUAUAAUUUGGUAAAUUCUAUGGUACCCUCAAAUUUUUUUUGGGUAUGGUACCUCAUUAAUAAUUCUAUAAAUUAUUAUCAUGUUAUUCAAGGUAAAUACUACAUCAUUAGAGCAUCUCCAAUGGAGUCCUUAUUUUGGGACCUUAAAAUAAAAUCUGGAUCUUAUUAGAUCUCACCAUUAGAGCUAUCCUACAUGGCAUGAGAUCUUAGCAAAAGCUAAGAUCCGUGCCUUAGCUCAGGUACUCUCAAAUGUGGGAUCUUAAAUAAAAUAAUAUUUUUUUCUCUCUCCUUCAAUACCAUAACCAAAGUGAAAAUUAGGGAGAGAAAUAAAUAAUAUAAAUAUAUUGGGUACUGUGGGUCUAGUCAAAAGUAAAAUAAUAUCCCAACCACUAGAGUGAAAUAUGCAUGAAGACCUUAUGGGUGUCUUAAAUCCUAUGUGGCAAUUUGGGCCCACAAAAAUUGAGUUAAGUCCCAAAAUAAGUUCCUACCAUUGGAGAUGCUCUUAGAUUUUAAUUUACUUGUCAAUUAACUUUAUCUCAUGAAAAGAAAACACAACUUUCAAAUCUCACGUCCCUAAGAAUGGAACGUUGCAUUACUACGAUAGAACACAAUCAAAAUUUUAACCGGUACAUGUGUCUUUAUUAUUAAAAUCGACUCAUUUUGGGUAUCACACCUUAGUCUGGCUUAAGGUACCAUAGCAAGCACCUUAUGAUUUAUAAGUAUCAUACUCAUGUGAUCUACUAAAUAUAAUUCCAUUGGUGAAUGAUAGAAUAAUUUUGUAAAUAAUUUUAGGAUCUUUGUGUACCUUUAAUAUUAGUAGUCAGUAACAUAAUAAUUUUGGUCAUAGUAGUCUAGUUGACCUUCCUUGUUUGUAAUGUGUUACUCUUGUAUAUUCGAUCUUAUGAUUGAAUGAAAUAAACACGAAACAUUUUCUUUCAGUGAGAUCAAGAAUAACAUACUAUUUCAAAAAAAAAAGAAUAAGAUAUCAAGUGUGGACAAAAGAUUUUCAUCCAUAAGAUACGACGUUAAAUGUGAUUAUUUUUUCCACAUAUUUCAUCUUUACUUUUUCUUCAAUGCUUUAUUUCAGGACUCAACCCUCUUUGUCGGAACUUCCGAAGGCCAAUGACAAACCAAACACCCAUCGUCAUAAACCAAAACUAGGAAAACUAAAAUGAAUUACAUUCUGGACAAUUUUUCACGUACAAAUUCUCAUCUAACACAUUCAUUUAAAAUUAAAGGAAAGAAAAGUAUGUUUUUUAUUUUCCUUAUGGUUCUUCCUAAUCAAACAAGGAGUGUGUUUGAUUUUCUAUUUGGAAACUCAUAAUCAAUAUUGGUAGUGUAGGAUUAAUUAUAAAUAAAAGUUUGAUGCUUAUGAGAUAUUUUGGAGAAUUAAUUUUAAAUUCAAAAUAAUUCUUGUAGAUGCUAGAGAAUAACUUUUACAUUGAAAUAAUCAAUUGCGAGAUUAUGAUUUACCUCAUCAACAUGAAUCACUUUUUCAUAAAUGUAUUCAAAUAUAAACCUCUUUGUCCUCGAAUGAUGACUCAAGUGGUAAAAACAUGGGGACAUAUGGUUUGGAGAAAAGGUCUAAAGAUCGAUCUCUAGAGGGUGCAAUUUAUUUUUCCAAUGUAAAAGAAAAUAUAAGUCACUUAAUUUUUAACUGAUUUCUACUAUAAAUAAUCAAUUUUAUGAAAAUCAAAUUUAUCUAUAAACCUGAUCCAAACAUGCACGAAUUUUUUUUUUUUUGAAAGUGAUUUUAUAAAAAUUAGGCAUCAGGAGGCAUAGAAGCCAAAACAUCCUGAGCCACCACAUGGAAAACACAAUCCGGAACUUCGUCCACCCACACCAUAUCAGCGUAAGUAGAGGCGUUCCUAGCCAAACAGUCAGCAGCUGCGUUACCAGAACGUCUUACAAAAGAUAAAGUAAAAACAUCAAAACCAGAAAUUAAAAAACGACAUUCACGAACAGUCGUAGCUAGGAACGAAACACCCUCCCUACGAGAUUUCCACCAAUUGAAAAGUUGUAAGCAAUCAGUCUGGAAUUCAACCCUCCGGAAACCCAACUCAAUAGCCAACCGAAGAGCCCAUCGGAAACAACCCGCUUCCGCCAAGAGAGGGGAAAGAGAUGCCACGGGAUACGCCGUCGCCGAGGCCAAAAUUUCCCUUUCAAAGUUUCGCGCCACCAUACCAUAGCGACGGUUGUCCCUCAACAAAAGUGGCAUCAAAAUUGAUCAUAAACACACCUCGACCUGGCAUUCUCCACGUUGUGUGCUGAACAGUGCGAGAGGGUGGGGCUGGCGUGUCCACUCGCGAGGGAGGCAGCCGCCUUUGCAAGCCUGUUCCUAGCUUCCCAAAGAGCGUAACAUAAGGUCUGGACCAUCCCAAUAAAAUCUGCAUCCCCAUCAUGAAGCACCGCCACCCAUAAGUCUAUUAAACCCGUGAACUGGUCUGUCCUCAAAGUUAAAGGAGAGCAAAACCAGAACAUUUUGGCAAUUGUACAAGAGAGGAAAACAUGCUCCAAAGUCUCAUUUUCUUGACAGCACCACACGCACUGCUCAUCUACUUCCAUAUGUCUCCACUUCAGUNNNNNNNNNNNNNNNNNNNNNNNNNNNNNNNNNNNNNNNNNNNNNNNNNNNNNNNNNNNNNNNNNNNNNNNNNNNNNNNNNNNNNNNNNNNNNNNNNNNNNNNNNNNNNNNNNNNNNNNNNNNNNNNNNNNNNNNNNNNNNNNNNNNNNNNNNNNNNNNNNNNNNNNNNNNNNNNNNNNNNNNNNNNNNNNNNNNNNNNNNNNNNNNNNNNNNNNNNNNNNNNNNNNNNNNNNNNNNNNNNNNNNNNNNNNNNNNNNNNNNNNNNNNNNNNNNNNNNNNNNNNNNNNNNNNNNNNNNNNNNNNNNNNNNNNNNNNNNNNNNNNNNNNNNNNNNNNNNNNNNNNNNNNNNNNNNNNNNNNNNNNNNNNNNNNNNNNNNNNNNNNNNNNNNNNNNNNNNNNNNNNNNNNNNNNNNNNNNNNNNNNNNNNNNNNNNNNNNNNNNNNNNNNNNNNNNNNNNNNNNNNNNNNNNNNNNNNNNNNNNNNNNNNNNNNNNNNNNNNNNNNNNNNNNNNNNNNNNNNNNNNNNNNNNNNNNNNNNNNNNNNNNNNNNNNNNNNNNNNNNNNNNNNNNNNNNNNNNNNNNNNNNNNNNNNNNNNNNNNNNNNNNNNNNNNNNNNNNNNNNNNNNNNNNNNNNNNNNNNNNNNNNNNNNNNNNNNNNNNNNNNNNNNNNNNNNNNNNNNNNNNNNNNNNNNNNNNNNNNNNNNNNNNNNNNNNNNNNNNNNNNNNNNNNNNNNNNNNNNNNNNNNNNNNNNNNNNNNNNNNNNNNNNNNNNNNNNNNNNNNNNNNNNNNNNNNNNNNNNNNNNNNNNNNNNNNNNNNNNNNNNNNNNNNNNNNNNNNNNNNNNNNNNNNNNNNNNNNNNNNNNNNNNNNNNNNNNNNNNNNNNNNNNNNNNNNNNNNNNNNNNNNNNNNNNNNNNNNNNNNNNNNNNNNNNNNNNNNNNNNNNNNNNNNNNNNNNNNNNNNNNNNNNNNNNNNNNNNNNNNNNNNNNNNNNNNNNNNNNNCCUUCAUCAUCACCACUAUUUUGCACUUUCUAUUGUCAGUUUGAACAUUGCAUUUACACUUUGUUUGUUUACACAUGAAUUGUGCAAAGAGAAAAUCCACAUGUAUAGGUAGGGAAGAGAGAUAGGCACCAACUGCAUUUGGUUUCAUAGUGGAGAAAAGGAGAAGAGAGGAAGCAUGUGGAACAGAACUUGUUUUGUAGUCUUCUCAUAAUAUAUGAGAAGAGAACCGAUAAAGUGAGCCUUUUUGUUUUUCUCACUUUUAACAAUUUCAAACUUCGAACGAUUUAUUUAUUACUGAUUUUUAAUAUUUAAUAAUUAAGCUAAACAUGUCAUUUUAUAUGAAGAGAAAAAGGAGAAUCUACCCAUUUUUUGUUCUCUUUCUUUCUUCUUUAUUUCUAUUUACCAAUUUUUUUAUAAAAUCUACUUUUUUUUCUCACUAUUUUCUCUCUACUUAUCUUCUCACUUACUCUACUCAUUAUCUGUUCUAAACCAAACAAAAUAUUAAUGUGGAAUUUAUGUUAGAAAGACCAAACUUUUUAGAAAAAUAUUAGAUGAACUCAUGAAUUUCAGGGACAUAUGAGUUAGUGACGAUUUUUAACUGCCACUAAAGUUAGCAACAUCUAAAAACCGUCACUAACGCAUAUGUUUUUUUAUAUCCACUUAAAUCUUUAUGUACACACAUAAUCACCUAAUUUUUAAGGCGGAUGCCAUUAACACAAUGAGCAUUGAUGCACUCAUGUGGCAUUAGUAAUGGUAAUUGUUUCGGAAAUAAUACUCAGGUAUAUAAAUAGUGCAGACGCCCAUUUUUAUCUCUCAACAUAUCCCUUUUGUCAUUACAUCUAUUACGUAUCUUUUCUUGUCUUCCUUUCUCAUAUUAAAUGUUUCUUGACACUAUGUAGAUGUAUCAUUUUCCCACUUCCUUAAACAUAGAAAACAACAAUGAAAAAAUGCUUAGGUGGGAAGCUGAAAGAAAGAAUCAUCAUGCAAAGUGCAUGAACAAGGUGAGGUGGCCUUUUUUUUCGGAGGAAGGGCUACGUGUGUUGAUGGCUUUCAAACAAAUGCAUGUGAGGGAGAGCCUCGCCCCACUCUUCAACCGUGAAAACUCAUGCCUUUUAGCUACCAAGACACCACUUUCACAAUUCAUUCUUGCACUCGCCAGCUCUAGAGAAUGAAAAUGUGAGAGGAGAAGAUUUUGAGAACUUUGCAUGCUUAUGUUAGAGUUUGAUUUUGGUUUCAAGCUGCAAGGCAAAAGUGAAGCUUGCAAGAAGAGCAAACCAAUGAGCUAGGUUCAUAAUUAAUAAGGUAUGUUUGGUGUGGUUGUAGCUAGAUAAAGGAGGGGAAAGUCUCAGGUUGGAAAAUUUGUCAGCAUUUUUAAGAUGAUAAAAUGUCUUCAUAUAAAUUGCUCAAGCUAUAUACCCAAGAUAUAUAACCCUCCAGUUUGUCAAUUUUAUGUGAUGAUGAUUUCUGCAUAUAAAUGAUCACUCUGCAUGUUUUGUUUCCUGUUCUACACUUAAGGAUGGAAAAGCUUCAAAAUGUAGGAUUGCAUGUGCCAUGUUUGUAUGCAAUUCACCUUGUAUGUGGCUGUUUUUCUUGGUGAUGCUAAAUUAAGGGACUAACUACAUGUUUGGAUGCAAAGCAAAGAGUACUUAUUGGAGCUUAUUUAUUGCAAUUUCUAGCAAAAUAUCAUGAUUUAUCGUGUCUUCAAUAAUUGCAUUGUGAAUUUUGAUCUAUUUUGCUAUUAACUUCUGUUCCUGAAUUCCAUACCAAUUUCGUGAUGGAAUAUGCAAAAUCUGAUGCUUACAUACAUAAUACAUUGAUACGUAUAUGGAAGACAUAAUGAGUUGCUUUCUGUGUUUAGCCGUGUUUAAAUUGUACACAUGGUUAUGGAAGGCAAUCAAAUAGCUCAAUUUACAAAAGAGGUGCAUGUUUCUUGUGUCCGGUGGCAACCAGAAAGAACCUCCAUUUUGUGCUGAUGCAGCUAGCAUAUUCUACACUUGAAUGAUGAAACUUGUUACCAACAAAUCAUGACACACUUGAUAGAUAGCGGAUAGGGUCCUUUAAGCAUGCUGACAAUGGUUCGAAUCUCGACCUGACCGUGUAUAUGAAAAAUGAUUUAUUGGGAGAGUCAAAACUCGUUUCGAUGAUCUUUAUCUCUCAAAAGAGAUUCUGACUUUUGUCUCAGAACACCCUUUGUGCACAAAGGAAAUAUUGUAUUUCUGUAAAACAAAAACGAAAAAUCGGAUUUGAUUCUUUUAUUCAGUCAAACAAAAGGAAAGAAAAACUUGACCAAUUAAAUUAGCAGCCACUUUCGUUGAGAAGUAAAACUGAAAUUGUGAUUAUCAUUGUACAAGUUUCAAUGGUGAUUGUAUUUCAAAAUUAAACGUUAUUGAAGAAAUUAAGUUCAUAUUAUUAUAUUCAUUUUCAAAGAUCCUGCUACAGAAGCAACCUUUUAUCUUAACAAACACACUUUUGCAACUUUACACCUCUUGAUCCUCCAUUCCUCCUGGUCUUUCUCUUGCUUCCUUCAAUUCAUCUACAUUACUUUCAUAGCAUUUCUUCUUCAUACUCUCUUCGCAAGCCAUACGCAUCAUUGAUUGUUUCCUUUCUGGUAAUUAACUAAUAGCUUCAGGUGUUCUUUCAUCCAGUGCAUUUUGUUUUUUCUGUCAUUGUUCUGAAUCCUUCAGCUUUAUAUUUUCAAUGAACCAUGGCUUCAUGAUCAUUGAAACACAUCUGACAUUAAUAUGUUGUAAUGUUUUGCUUUGAAAUUCUCAAAAUUCACUAGCAUGGAACAAAUUUUGCAAUCAAGUACCAUAACAUAGCUAUGUUUUUCACAAAUGCACCCCCUUUUUUUUGCAAAAGCCCUGAAGUUCUAAAAAUUGAGAAUCAAAAUGAAUUCCCAUAUAAAUUUUAGUAGGUUCAAGUUGUAAUGAAACUUAGUGUAGGUUUGGAUGAACUCAAAGCCGAUCCACAUUUAAGUCGAUUAGGCAAAAUCUUACUUCUCUGUUUGGUAUAUGUAGGCGCAAACGAAGAACCAAACAGGCACUAAGUUUGUUCACUCUUCUUUGUCCAAGGUUCUCUUGUUGAAAUGGAGUAUGAUGACUGCUUCAAACAACAGGCUAAGAGAACAAAAUAUGAUUGCCUUCUUUUUGGUAAGUUUUGUAAUCAGGACAUUUUUCAAGUAACAAAUUGAAAAAAUUCAUAUUCGAGUAUGUUAUAUAACCAUUGAGAUUGUUCUACAGAUUUAGAUGAUACUUUGUAUCCCCUCAGUUCUGGUCUUGCAAAAGCAUGUCACCAAAAUAUUAAAGGUAAGCAACUAUGUCAUACUUGUGCCACAAUAUUCACAGUAAUUAAUGUCUUUUGUAAUUGCUGCUUUUUUGGGUAUUGACAUGAGUGAUAUCAUUAAUCUUAGCUUACAUGGUGGAGAAGCUUGGCAUAGCACCAAAGAAAACUGAUGAAUUGCCCAACCUCCUUUACAAUAACUAUGGAACUACUAUUGCUGGCCUAAGGGUCUGAUUAAUUACCUUGUAUUCCUUAUUAUUUCUAGCUAAAUAUGGUUUAGAUAUUAAGUUCUGAAAAUGCUGAUAACUUUUGUAAUUUGUUUUUCAUUUUCUAUUCAGGCAAUUGGAUAUGACUUUGACUAUGAUGAAUAUCACAGGUUCACUUUUUUAUUUUUUUCCCCAUCACAUUCUUAAUUAUGUUUUUAAUCAUGUGCAUGGUUUUAAAUCAAGGUCCGCCAUUGUGAUUUCGGCCGUAAUGUCAAGGUUUUGGAGGUUUCCGAAACCGCAAUGCGACCGUGAUUACGGCCGGGAAAAACAUUUGUUCACAAUUUUUCGCAAUACGAAGGACCGCAAGGAAACCUGAGUGUGACCGAUACCGCGACCACAAUUCAAAACCUUGCUCAUGUGUUUAUUCUGAAAUGGUGAUAAUGAUUUUUGAAUUUCUGCUUGCAGUUUUAUUCAUGGGAAAUUACCUUAUGAGAAUUUGAAACCAGACCUGGUUCUGAGGAACUUGUUGCUAAGCCUCCCCUAUAGGAAACAUGUAAGUUGUUUAUAACCAAAAUGGGAAUGCAUUUCUUUAUAAACAUGUAAGAGUGGGUUUGUUUUCCAAUUGAAAGCACGCUCAACUGGCAUAUUCGACUCUGCAGUUUUUUCAACUGACCAAAGUUGUUGGAUCGAGAAAAACCACAUUCACAUGCAGCUGUCCAAUGGAUAAACAAAUACACUAAGUCUUACUUUUCAUUUAAUAAGUACCAUUUUUGAAACUUCACCAAUAGCUUACUUCUCUUGUUUUCUGUCAAUAGCUCUUCACAAAUGCAGACAAAGUCCCUGCAAUUAAGGUACUCUGCAGGCUUUGGUUAGACUAUUGCUUCGAAGGAAUCACAUGCUUUGAGACCCUUAAUCCAAUUCACAAGAGCAUUGCUCUGGAUGAUGAAGAGAAUAACAUUGUGUUUGUUGGUUCAAAUGGUGCAAGCUGCUCUAAAAUCUUUGACAUCAUAGAGCACUUUGCUCAGCCUGAUCCUAGUGCAGACUUGCCAAACACACCAAUUAUAUCCAAGCCUUCACAGAAAGCCAUUGAAUUGGCUCUCAAGAUAGCCAACCUUAACCCACACAGAACCGUAACAAAAUCUCCCUUUGUGACUUUUUUAGUCAAAAUUUGUUCCCUUCUCCAAUAUUUUUUUUCGAUUUGCUUCCAUUUUUUAUUUUGUUUCACUAUUGUACUUUCAGUUGUUCUUUGAGGACAGUGUCCGCAACAUUCAAGCUGGAAAGCGCACGGGUCUUCACACUGUGCUGGUAAGUGUGUGUUUGGAUACUAGAUCAUGUGAAUGGAUUUUCAUCUCAAUUCAUAAGAAGAAUUUUGUCCAGUAGUUUCUGAUUGUCACAUUGUGCAGGUUGGUACAUCCCAGAGAGUGAAAGGUGCAGAUUAUGCCUUGGAAAGCAUUCACAACCUAAGUGAGGCACUGCCUGAACUAUGGGAGGUUGGGAUGAAAUCAGAAGUUGCAUGCCCUGAGAAGCCUGCUGUGGAGACAACAGUCACUGCUUGAGACCAUGAAAGGAAGCACUUCUAAUCACUGUAAAAUAGAAUAAAAAGGAUAAAGCCGACCUGGAUUCCCCAACUCCUUCAGAUGUAGUAACAAUAAUUGAUGUUGAUAUUUUGUUCAGUUUAUAAAAAACUCACUAUGUAAAAUAAAUUGUCCUUUUCUGUCUUUCUUUACAAAGAAUGCAUAUGAUAUGACUAGCUAGUUAAUUAGAAACUAAAACAAGAUCAUGUAUGAGAAGUGAAUGUCCAAUAUCUUGAAUUGUGAUCUUACAAUUAAAACUAUGAUAGGUCAAAAGAACCUAGUGGAAAAUAUUAGUUUUGAGGCGGGGCACAACAAAUCAAAUUGUUUGUGAGUAGUGAUGCUUUCACAAAUUGAUGCAAAUUGUAUACUCGGAUUCACUUCAUGCAUGUUUAAAUACACAUGGUGAAAAAUGACAAUGAAUUAAAAUUAUGGCAAGACAAAAAUAGUUUCUCUUAAUUUUUGUGAUUGUUCACCCAUCACCGUAAUUUCAUCGUAAUUUUCACCGUGUACUCAAUUUUUCACUGUAUAUCGGAAUCGGAACAUGUAUAUAUAAUUAUAUAUAGUGUUUAAAUAUCUAAACUUUCACUAAAUAUCUAAACUUUGAAGGUACAUAUACAAUUUACAACCAUUAUCAUUUUUUAUUUCUACUGCUUGGGGUCAUGUCAAAUUUAGACACUACUGGCCAUAAAAAGUAUAAAAAUAGAAGUUAUAUAAUGUGACAAAAAAUAAAUAAAAAGAAAAUUUAAGUGGAAAAAUGUUUAAAAAUCAAAAUCUAAGAAAAAAAAUUAGCAUGACAAAAUGCGGCGUUAAAGAGAGGGUGUUUAUCUUAACCUCUGACCACAUCACAACACAACAGAACAGUAUUCACCUGGUUUGUUCCAAAAUCCUCUUCACACCGACAAUGUAGCAAGCACCAUUCAUUCAUUCUCAUUCUAUUUAUACUCCAUUUCUCACCACUCACUCUCCUUUUCUUCCUCACGUUCUUCCCUUCCAAUUUCUUCUUCCUUUCUGCCUUCAUCCUUUGAUUCAAGACAAUGGGGAAGAAAUCUUAUUCUUCAUCCUCCACAUGGCGUGGAUGGCGCUACGUUCAACCUCGCUACUACAUCAAGAGGCCUAAACGACUCGCAUUGAUCAUCAUCGUUUGCAUCGCUCUCACAUGGCUUGUCUAUGAUCGCCAGUUACUCAACAAGGAGCACCAGGUUGGUUUUUCUUCGUUUAUUGGUCUAAUUGCACCCCACAUGAUACUCUGAUCUGGUUAUCAUAUUUCCCAUUUUUUUCUGUUUCAGGAGGAUAUUUUGAGAUUACAAGAAGAGGUUACAGGCUUGCAGAAUACAGUAAGAUCUGCAGAGUUUCAAUUUUUUGCUCUUUUAGUUGCAUUUUGGCUUAGUUUGGGUUGUUUGAAAUGGAUUUGCAGCUGGAAGAGAUAAAGGGCCAGAUGAAAGGCUCUGAAGCAGAAAGUUUACAAAAUGAUGAAAAAAUGAAUGAUUUGACCAAUGUUGUUUCGGUUGAGGAUGAUCCUAUUAGCAUACAUCGAAGAGAGAAAGUCAAAGAUGCUAUGCUUCAUGCAUGGACGGCUUAUGAAAAGUAUGCAUGGGGCAUGGAUGAACUUAAGGUUUUCCACUAUAUAUAAUAUUUGUUUUGUUGUUUUUCUUCAUCUACUGCUUGAUGGGAUGGUUUUUAUGUAUGUUGCUUGCAUUGAUUCUCCCAUGCUUUUAAGGUAUUUGAGUUAUCUUAUGUUUUACCAGAGGGAAGUUAGUGACUGAACAAGUUGAUCAACUAGCCCCGCAUUGUGCGUCAUUAGGCUAAAUUUGAUAAUAUGCAUGAUUAUAUUCAUACCAUUUGUAUAUUUUGUCUUCAGCCUGAAAGUAAAGACCGAAAAAUAAUUUUUGAAACCAUAACAAGCUUCUAUUUCCUAUAUGCUAGCUAUAGUUCAAAGUUUGGACUUUGGAAUGGUGUUUCCCCUUGUAACUAAGUAUUUGCUAUCUUUCAUUCAUAUUCUGUCUCUUCAAUUCCCUCCUUGAUAAAUUCUGAGUUACGCAACUAAUUACCUUGCUAUUCCUCUCACAGCCACAAUCGAUGAACGGUGUUGACAGUUUUGGUGGUCUAGGAGCAACUUUAGUAGAUUCACUUGACACGCUAUUUAUAAUGGGGCUUGAUUCCCAGUUCAGAAGAGCUAGCGAGUGAGUUGUCUUCUAUUUUAAUGUAGUUGAUAAUGGUGCUAUCCUGCUUAUAUAUGUGUGCUUCAAACUAUGUGUGUAUGUUAUUGCUUUCUUUUUACUUUAUUUUUCAACUCUGCUAUGGUUUGAAUUGAGGAAUCAAAAAGAAGAAAGGAUUUCCCUCAUUUACUGUGUUUUGGGUGAUAUUUCAUAAGCACUCUUCUUGUGUGCAUAUGGAUAGGUGAAUGUUAAUAUACUGUUUUUAUUAUUUCAUGAUUUAGUUUCUGUAUUGUAAGAUUGGUUAUAUUCGAAGCAGUUAAUAUGAUAUAUAUUGCAGGUGGAUUGCAGAAUCAUUGCAUUUUAACAAGAACAUUGAAGUUAGUGUGUUCGAGACAACCAUAAGGUUGAAUUAGAAGGUUCAAUCUUAUUUUUAUUUAAGUGCUUUCUCCACUCAGCUGAUAAUUGCUGCUACUUUGCGGAUUGCAGCAUACUUUGCUUUCUAGUCUAUUUUCUCUCAUCUGUGUAUUAUUUUGGUUCUAUUCAGAGUUUUGGGCGGACUUCUUAGUGCUUAUGAUCUCUCUGGGGACAAAGUCUUCCUUGAAAAGGCUAGGGAUAUUGCAGAUAAGCUGUUGCCUGCUUGGGAUACACCUUCAGGAAUCCCCUACAACAGAAUUAACUUGGAAAAUGGCAAUACAAAUAAUCCUAGGUGGACACGGGUAUGUUCGUUUCUCUGGAUACUGUUUGCAAUAGUUGCUAGGGCUAUUGAUAGAACCACCCUGAAAUCUGAUAUUAUUUCUCACAAAUCCCUAAUUCCCAAAUUGGGAACUAGAGCAGAAUACAAGAGAGAGUCCACACCCUCUAGAGAGUCCACACCCUCUUCCUAAUCCCAAUACCCAAAUGAUACAAAAGAUACCCCUAACUCUCUAAUGUCUGUUAUUUAUAGGCUACAUGCCUCAAUAACAUUCUAACUAACUCACUAAGUAUAACUAACUAACUAACUAACCCCUAACCUUGAGUUCCUAUUAGCUAUAUAUAGAGACUGAAGAUGAUUCGGAUUGCUGUAGAUAAUAGUAUUCCUUUCUAUGUUUUCUUGUAAAUGGUUAUCUGGUUUUAUUUGAUUAGUAAAAAUCAGCGCACCUUGCAUCUGUUUAUCACAGUAGUGCAUAACUUGAGUAGUGAAAAAGAAAAGUAGGAACAGCUUCCUAGCAUUGCCUGUCUUAUGUUCUUGAUUAAAUAUUCUCUGUUACUAGGGAAACAGUAUUCUUGCAGAUUCUGGUUCAGAGCAGCUUGAAUUUAUUGCUCUCUCUCAAAGAACAAAUGACCCCAAAUACCAGCAAAGGGUAAUAAAUAUCUUGCUGCUUUUUAUGUGUUCCUUUUUUUCUUUUUUCUUUUUUUCCCGUUUAGAGCAACCAAUAAUUUUCAACUUUGUAGGUCUCUCUUCCUUUGAGGUGAACUGGUUUUAAGUAUUCUUUUUCCCCAUCUCUAAGCACACUGAUUUUGAGUGUAGUGAUUUUGUGCGAGAGUAGAAGUUUAUUCUUUAUAUCAGUUUUGACAUAUGACCCUUCUGAUAUUUCAGGCUGAGAAGGUCAUCAAACAGUUUCGUAAAAUUUUUCCUGAAGAUGGGUUGCUUCCCAUAUAUAUUGAUCCAAAAACUGGAACUAAACCAAGUGGAGCUAUUACGUUUGGUGCUAUGGGUGAUAGGUGAUGACACUGAUAAUAUCUUAAUCUUAUAACAUCAUUGUUGCGUGAUCUUACAAUUGUUGGUCAUUUAGGUUAAGUUGGUUGACUAUAUCUUCAGAUAAAAUUCAGGUGCAAGUUGAAGCCAAAUUCUUUUGAACUCUUUUAUGAGAGCCUUAUUUAGAAAAUACAGAUGGGUUGUUGACCUGAUAUGAUGAAUGGAACAGUAUGAUUAGUUGAAUUUUAUAGAUAGUCUUUAGUGACCUAAACAAGUCCAUAUUCAUGUGUUAUGAUUACCACAGAUAUGGAAUUAUUGAUGUUUAUGGGUUGAAAGGGAGGAUGGUGAUUUAUAAUAAUUUUUAUGUUUGUUGUAGUGAUGGGUCACCUAUGAUUGGAGAUGUUUUCAUGCAUGUGCAUAAACUUCACAUAUUUUAAAGGAAGAACGUUGGUGCAUAAUGCCAGAAUAGCUGCUCAACUCAACUAAGUGUUGUCUUCUGUUAAUUGUUAGUAAUAGCGGCACAAUAUGUUUAAAGUAAAUUUCAACUGGCAUGUUUGACCUUCGCUGGGUUAUUGACUGCUUGGUAUUUUUCAUUCACCUCAUCCUUUGCAUAAAAAGGCUGCCAUUUUAUGUGCUGCAGCUUCUAUGAGUAUCUACUCAAGGCCUGGGUACAAGGGAACAAGACUGAAACAUUAAAAUUUUACAGUUGAUUAACUUGAAAUUUCAACUAUCCUUUGAAAUAGCAAAUAUAUAGUCUUUGUUUGGUAAGAAUUUACCGAUCCAGCUUUCCUGUGUAACAAGCCAUGCUCUUUGCUCUGCCUCUCCCUGAUGCAAUAUGUGCACUUUUUUUUGCCAUAACUUUUCUAAGAAGCCAUAGUGUGGAUUAUCCUAGAUUCUGUACCCAAAAUUGCAAACUUGAGACUAGUUUUAUAAUGAACAGAAAGUUAAUUUUGCUAUUUUCUGAUCUCUCCACAAUGUAUAUUUCACAAAACACCUGACCUGUGACUAACAUGCAAUCAAUUUCUAUUUGGUCUGAUGCUACAAUAAUCUGACACACCCUUUUUUUUAGUACCUUCUGGUUAAUAUGGAAGUUCAGCUUUGAAAUAUGUCUGCAUCUGGAUCUGUGUAUAUUUAAAUGUGUGAGAAAAUUGUGUGUUCAGGGAGAUGUGGGAGACAUCAAUGAAAGGUCUUGAGAGCUUGAUUAGGAAGUCAACACCGUCAUCUUUUGUGUACAUAACUGAGAAGCUUGGAAAUGGACUCUUUGACAAGGUGCUAUUUGAAAAGGAUUUUAUUCAAUCUAAGAUGAUUAUAUCAUGAAAAGAAUCUCAGAUCUUGUCUCUCUUUCAGAUGGAUGAAUUAGCAUGUUUUGUUCCCGGGAUGCUGGCUUUGGGAUCUUCCAGGGAAGGUGACAAAUAUAUGUCUCUAGCAGAGGAGGUAUUACUUUAGAACUAUUUGUGUUAUCUUGUAAUUUCUUACUAUAAAACUUUUUUCAAAUUGUUCAUGCUAUGGUAACCUCAUUGUCAUGGAGAAAAGAAAAGAAAGAAAUAUGCGUGAUAUUGAAUAAAGUAAGCCCUUUGAAAAGAGAAUGGCUUCUGAAAGGCAUAGUCACUGCAAUUCCUGGAUUUUGCCAAGUGACCUGGCAUUUUGUUCAAGAAUUAUAAUACCAAAGGCUCAAGUUUUCUAAAAGCUUUAGCUGCUAGGUUGAGGCAUA